UUCAGCCAUCAUUACAGAAUGUUAUUCAGAUUGGUUCGCAGAUCCCAGGCAACCAAGAUGAACAUGCCCAUAACUUCAUGAAUCUACCUCCACAAGUUUCCUGGGAUUCCAGUUAUGCUGUUAGUUCUGGAUCCCCUCCUGUGCUUCUACCACAUGAGAUUGUCAGUAGUAUCAAUUGUCAGAAGAGCUGGGGGACUAAUGCACCAGAACUGGUUAAUGGCAUCCAGCCGCCUUUGCCAGUGACAACAAUUGUUGAAAGCUCACCCUCAUUGGAAGUGAACUUAUCCUCCCAGGAGGCUUCUCUCGUGCAAGAGCCUCUCGCUUCUGAAUGUCAUGCGCUUCCUAUGGAGCAGCCAUUGGAUUAUACUCCGAAGAUUGAUGAAAUUGCACCAGUUGUACCUACUGUGGAUGAUGCAACCUGUGGAACCUUGGAGCACCAUGAAAUUGCUACUGCUAGAACCUCUAAAACUGAUAUACCUAUUAACGAGGGUGUUCUAUCUACUGAUUCUAUUGAUGAACUGCCAGUUGGAAGGGACAAAGGCAAUGAUCAGCCUUCUGUGGUGAGAGAAGCUAAGAAUGUCGAAGCUCAUGAGGUAAGAAAAGCUUCAGAAAAGAAGUCUAGAAGGCAAAAAUCUAGUAAAUCACAAGCUUCGGACCUUGCAAAGGGACUUCCAAAGGCUUCCACUUUGGUGCAAUUGAAACCAUCUGAAACUGAAGAGCCAGUUGUUGGUGACUCUAAUACUGCUGGACAUAACAUUGAUGGGAUGUCUCAAGGAAAGACGGAAGAGAACAAAUCCAGAAACUCCCCCAUGGAUUCUUCUUAUGCUAAAAGCUUUUCAGCUGCUAACAUUGGUGUGUUGGAUGAUGAAACCAAAGAAACCAAGGGUGAGGCUAAACUUUCUAGUUCUCCAUUGCAGAACCCAGCUGCAGUACGUGCAUGGAAACCUGCUCCUGGUUUCAAGGCAAAGUCAUUACUGGAAAUCCAACAAGAAGAACAGAGGAAGGCUCAAACUGAAGUGGCAGUAUCAGAGUUGACUUCUUCUGUCAACUCUCUGAGUUUGUCAACUCCAUGGGCUGGGGUUGUCUCUAGUUUAGAACCCAAAGUUUCUAGAGUAAGUAAAAAAGAUGCAGAUAUUUCUGAGUCAGCUAUUGUGAAACCCGAAAGUUCUUUAAAUUCAGUGAGUAAAAAGAGUCCAUUACAUGAUCUGUUGGCAGAAGAAGUUUUAGCAAAAUCUAGGGAAAGAGAUGCAGAUGUUCCUGGCACUAUUUCUACAUCUUCUGCCCAUGUUACCACUACAAAUGUCGAACCCACUGAUAAUGACAAUUUUAUUGAGGCUAAAGAAACUAAAAGGAGUCGAAAAAAGUCUGCCAAAUCUAAGGGUACAGGAGCAAAAGUUUCCGGUCCUCCUAGUACUGCUGAUGCGGUUCUUGUUAGUGCAAGUACUAUUGAGAAAGUCAAAAGUUCUCGUCCAGCACAUGUGGAGAUGGAAUUAUUGCCUUCAAUUCCCUCGGGUCCUUCUUUGGGAGAUUUUGUACCUUGGAAAGAGGAGCAAGUAAACCCUUCCCCUGCUCCAGCUUGGUCUGCUGAUUCUAAGAAACUUCCUAAGCCCACAUCAUUGCGGGACAUCCAAAAGGAGCAGAAGAGGAAUUUCUCUGUCCAGCCCACAAAUCCAAUACCAACUCCUCAUAAGUCCCAACCAAGUCAGUCAACUCCUGCUGGUGUUUCAUCUCGGUCCUUCACUGCAUCUUCACCGUCAAAGACUGCAUCGCCGAUCCAGAUUAAUUCUCAUGCAACUCAGUCAAAACAUAAAGGAGAUGAUGACUUAUUCUGGGGUCCAAUUGAUCAGACAAAGCAAGAAACGAAGCAGUAUGUUUUCUUCCCCUAUGCACUCAUCCUGCUCUUAAGAAGAAAAUUAAUAAUAAAAGAAUUCAUACACACACUGUCAUGCACUUAUUUCUUUUACUCUUGUGAAGUAUUUUCUUCCUAGGGUGAGUUGGAAAUGGUGGGUCUUUGGUUAUUUUAGCUGCACUCUAGCCUGCAAAGAUAACAUACCUAAGCUUCCUAGUUGCAGCUAAGUAAUGUGGUUGGGAGUGGCUUUCGUCUCGUUAAAAUUAAAAUGAGAGUUUGAUUUCAAUUUAACAAUAAUUAUCCUAACUUUUGAAGUGCUUUUUACUAUUUUCAAUCCCAUCUAAAAUUCUAUUAAGUUAUACCUCCCUGUGAGCUGAGAGCAUUAGAAAAGUUUAUCCUCGCUGACUUGAUAUUUAAUGAGAUUCAUUUGUAAUCACUAUAUGGGUAUGUUAAUGUUAGUUAUAUUUUGUUGUAAACAGAGGUGAUUUCCCACUUCUUGCAAAUGUGGGCGGCUGGGGGACAAAAAGCACUCCUGCUAAAGGAACUGCAAGUGGGGCAUUAAGUCGGCAAAAGUCAAGUGGCAGAGCUAUUGAGCGCACUUUGUCAUCCUCUCCUGCCUCUGCUCAGUCAUUCCUUAAAGGCAAAAGUGAUAUGUUGACAAAGCAUUCUGGUAAGUCAUUUCAGGAUGAGUAAUCGGUCUUUGUAUGUGUUUUUUUUUUUUUUUUUGACUGCCUCAUAAAAAUUAGACAUAAUGAGAUUUAACUAUCAUGCAGAGGCCAUGGAUUUCAGAGAUUGGUGCGAGAGUGAAUGUGUUAGGCUUAUUGGGACAAAAGGUAUGGUAUUUUGCUUCGUUCUUCCAAAAUUAUCCUAUUUUAGGUGGAGAUGAUGUUUGUAUGUUCUUUUCUUUCGGGAAAGUACAGAUCACAAAAUUUUUUAUUUUGGCUCCUCUUUUCAAGUCUUAGAUGAUAUUCUUUCAAUUAUUGCUUGUCCCAACUCUCUGAAGCUGUAGUUGUAGUAUUGAUAGAUGCAAACCGGGUUGAAUAUUCAUUGAAUGUUGGCAUUUUAAUCUUGUGUCUUUUCUUCUUUUAUCCUUUUGCUAGAUACAAGUGUCUUGGAAUUUUGUUUGAAGCAAUCUAGAUCUGAGGCUGAGAUACUUCUGGUAGAGAACCUUGGAUCAUUUGAUCCAAAUCACGAGUUCAUUGAGAAAUUUCUCAACUAUAAGGAAUUGCUACCUGCUGAUGUGAUUGAGAUUGCUUUUCAAAGUCGACAUGACAGAAAGUUCUCAGAGUUGGGCAGCGGAUAUGUGAACUCCGGCAAUUCAAGUAUUGCUAAUUUUGAUGCAGAAGUUGGAGUUGGCCUAGAUGGUUCCUCUAAGGGGGGAGGCAAGAAGAAAGGGAAGAAAGGGAAGAAAGUUAGUCCAGCUGUUUUGGGAUUCAACGUAGUGAGCAACCGGAUUAUGAUGGGUGAGAUUCAGACAGUAGAAGAUUGAGAAAUCUGGACUUAUUUUUGAGAGAUCAUAACGGAUUUUUGAGACGUUGGGUCAGUUGUAAAUACAUUUGGGUUUUACUCUUUUGUAAAUUGUCCAGCUAGGGUUUUAUUUAUUCCAUUGUUAACUUUGUUAGAGAGCAGGAGGAAUUGAAACUGCUCAAGCGUUUUUGGAGGAAGUUCAAUUGCGGUGAAAGUCGUUUAUUUUUGUUAAGAGGUUUAUUUAUAAAAUAGCAACUUUGAUCUCCAAAAAAAGGUCGACUACGGUGAGCAGUUUUUCUAUGCGAUCCGUGUGAGCCAAACUCAUCCGAGUAACGGUAGCAAACAUUAUUUUACAUCUCCAAUCGUUUAGUUACUUACGUCUGACAGGAGGAGGUGGCAUCAUUUUAGUUCAUUGAGGGUUAAUGUGUAGUCCUCCAAAAAUACUUUGUACUUGAUUUGUUUUCUUUUAUUUAGAUGGUAUAUGAAUUUGUAUUUCGUUAAUUUGUUAAGAGUUAAUGUAUAGUUUGUUCCUUGUUAAAAAGUAAGAUGUUUUGUUUAACUCCUCCUUUGAAGUGGUCAAUAUAAUUUUUCUUUCUUUUAUUCUCAAAUUUCAUUUUUAAUAUUUUUAUAAAAAAAUACAACUAUUAAUUUGAGAUGGAAAAUUUAUAAAAAAUAUUCCAAAAACAAAUUUAUAUUCUUUUUCCUAUUUCUUUAAUUCAAUUUGGGAGAUAAUAAAACUGUUGACUAAAAGUUCUUUUUAAAUUGGAUCAAUGGUUAGAUCACUCAACUAUCGAUUUGAUUAGUCUAUCCGGUUUGAUUAAAUAAAUAUUAAAUAAUUUAUAAAAAAUAUUAAAAAAAUUGGUUCAACCAUCUGAUUCAACUGAUUUUUUGCUCGGUUUAAUCAAUCCUAUAUCAUUUCUUGAAUAAAUUGAUUUAAUGCCUUUCUCUGAAUUGAUAUCUUGAUCAAUUCUCGGUUUGAUUGACCAACCAACCUGGCCCGGUCCAAAUUACCAUGAUGAAGAAAAACAUAUUUAUUUAAAUAAAUUAAUCUGUUGGUUUUUUUUUAUCAUUAAUAAAUCUAUUGGUUUUUCACUAAAAAUAAAAGAAACUUAAAAUAAAAUUUUAUGUACUUCUUUUGUACUUUCAUCUAGAACCCAAGUUACAAAUGCGAGUUGGGUUAAAAUGGGAUUUGUCAACCCUAAGCCUACAACACAAUCGAGAAAAAGCGUAGAUGGGAAAGAAUGGGACAAAAUGGUAACCAUUUACAAAAUUGUAAGAAUUUUGAUCAAAUUUAUAACUUUAAAUCUGAUUGGUGAUCCAAUCUAUGAAGUUAGCGGUUUAAUCACUUCGAUUAGAAAAGUAAAAGAAAAACCAAUUUAACCGUUUUUUCAAUCAAUUUUUUUCUUGAUUCAAUUGGUUUGUACUGGUUCUUAAGUUAAUUAGUUCAAAACCUAUCUCUAGGUUAAUACCCUAUUUGAUUCUUAAUUCAACUGAUCGACCCGAUCCGAUUCAAACAACAUUACUUUAAAAUUAUAAAUUUCUAAUUUUUAUAAUUCAAAUAAUAAUUUUCUAACUUUUUCAACUCAAAUCCCAUUAUUAUUGUUGUGUUUUUAUUUAAACUUUUCAAAUUCGUCUAACAUGUUAGACAUUGAUUAAUUUUUGUCACUUUUUUGUUAAAUCAUUCAUAGAAGGAUGACAUGACAAAUAUUUAAUUGGUAUAAGAAUAAAUUUGGUCUUUAACAUUUACAUAUUUAGUCAAAUUAGUCUAAUUCUAUUUAAAGCUUAUAAAAAAUAAAAAAAAUAGAAAAUAAAAAAAUGAUAGAUUUUUUUAGAAAUAUAAUAAAUUAAAUAAAGAUAAAUUUAUUAAAAAAAUUCAAUUUUAUUUAAAAAUUAGAAAAUAAAAUAAAAACUAAAAAAAAAGGAAUGAAACAUUUAAGAAAUAAUUAUUGAAAAAUGAUUUUUGGUGCAAAUUCUCUGUCGUGUUCUAGAGAGUGCUAACCCUUCGGAGAAAUGUUCGUUGUAUACAAUCGUUAACUCUCCGUCUUCCACCCUAUCAACCGUCUUCUUUGCCUUUGGUGGUGAUGUUUUUCCUUUCUAUCAAUUUCGACGGUUUCUUGCAACUUCUACUCCCUUUGAUUCCUCUGAUCUCUUUUAAAUUUUGUUAUGGUUUAGCUAACGGUCAUAUCUUUGUUUAUAUUUCUGUUAAGGCUGUUAAAAAUAAUUAGUUAAAUGCUGCGUUUCUUUUAAGUGGUUUAGUGAUACGGUGAGUUUUUGUCUAGUCAAAACGGGUGCAUUUAGUCUAUUGCAGUAUAGCGGUUAUUGCUGUCAUUAUAUUGCUUGUAACCGAAAGGGAAAGGCAGGAAAGAAAUUUAAUUCUGUUUUCAGCUUCUUUUUUCUCUCAUUCUAGUUUCUCUCAGUUUUCUCUCUAGAAUUCCUCUCUUCUUCUCGUUUCUCUCUCCCUCUCAAAUCAUUCUUCAACAAAGGUAUCAGAGCUAUCGAUCCUCAUGACCAGCGAUGGAGUAACCACGCGAAUGCAGAAGGAACUCGGACAGAUCCAAGGUGAACUUUCUCACAUGUAAACGGAGUUUUCGCGGUUGGAUGCACGAAUUGAUGUUCGGUUGAAAGAUCUACAGGAAGGAAUCAAGUCGGAGGUACGUACAGAACUUCGUUCUGAGCUUCACUCUUUAUUUGAGCAAUAUUUUGGUCAUGAACCUCCAAUGGCAGUGGGCGGUGCGGUGAACAGUAAAAGUAAAGGGAUUUUGGGGUCACCACCUAGUUUCCCAUCUAAGGAACACCUAAUAGUAUCUCCGACGGCAGAUCUAGGCCAUUCAAGCAUGUCUUUACGUGGAGUGAUGGUGGAAGCUGAUCGUUCCACUUUUAGGAUGGAAUGCCCGUCAUUUGAUGGUGAAAACUUUUAAGGAUGGUGGUCCAAGCUUGAGCAGUACUUUGAAGCGGAGGGGAUUGGUGAUCAUGCAAAGGUUCGGCUAGUUAUGUUGCAUCUCGAAGGUAAGGCACUUGACUGGCACUAUUUUUUUGCUCGAAGGCAUGGGGGAUUACAUCAACUAUCUUGAGAGAUCUAUGCGAGGGGACUUAGGAAGCGUUUUGGGUCAGACUCUUUUCUCGAUCCUAUGGUAGAACUAGUGACCCUCAAACAGCUUGGUUCUGUUGACCAGUAUCAUGACGGUCUUCUAAGUUUGUUGAAUCAGUUGAACUUGUCUGAAACUUAUGUACUGAGCAUCUUCCUUAGCAAUCUCAAGCCUGAGAUAGGUCAAUAUCUUAGGUUUUUUAAACCUCAGUCACUAGUGGAGGGGUACAACCUAGCGAGACAGGUGGAGAAUAUUGUGUAUGGAACGGUCAAAAAAGAAAACAUGCUUAAUAGUGGGGUUAAUGUAGGAAGACCCUUAUUUCUUAUGGUUCGAAGUGUUAGAGGAAGCAGUAGUCUGAGUUCAGCAAGUGAAUCAACAGGUGGGAAGCCUAGUUCUAAAAUGCCUUCAAAGUCCUUAUCUCAGGUAGAACUGGAAGAUAGGAGGAAAAAUGGGCUUUGUUUUUGGUGCGGUCUUAAAUACUCUCCCGGCCAUAAAUGUUCAAAGUCUCAAAUGUACCAGUUAGUUGUGGAACCAUUAGAGGAUAGUGGCACAGACACAAGAAGUCCUACUCAUGAUGACUUUCAGGACAGUUCUGAGCAGUUGGAGUCAACAGAAUUAGGGUCAAGGAAUUCAACUCCUGUAUUGUCGUUACAUGCCUUACACGAAUCACAGGGUCACAACACCAUGUGGUUUCCAGCAGUUAUUGACCAAUUUGAAGUGGUAGCUUUAGUAUAUUCUGGUAGUACACAUAAUUUUAUUGAUUUCAAGGUAGCUAGAAGAUUGAAGCUGGUUAUAGAACCUGAGCCUAGUUUGAAAGUGCUGGUGGCAAAUGGGGUCAAAUUGAGCAUUCAGGGACUCUGUAGAGCUGUAGUAUGGGAGGCAUAGGGGUAUGAAUGUGUUACAGAUUUUUUGGUACUAUCAGUCAAAGGGUUUGAUUUGGUACUCGGUAUUCAAUGGUUGCUGUCCUUAGGGCCAAUUGUAUGGGAUUUUUCCAAUCUCACUAUGCAAUUCAAAUGUGGGAUCCAGAAUUACGUUUUGCGGGGUACUGUACCUGGUUCGAUGUAGAUUGUUCCUAGUGGUCAAUUCUCCAAGUGCAUGAGCUUGGUAGGUAAUGGACCCUGUCCGAUGUUGUUGGCUUCAUGUGAUCAGACUUUCCUCACAAUGCAAUCAACUCAGUCAUCACCUGAGUUGCAAAAACUUCUAGAUGAUUUUGAAGAUAUAUUUUAGGUGCCUACACAGCUACCUCCCCCUCGGUUACAUGAUCACAAGAUACCUUUGGUGGAUGAAUCCAAGGUGGUCAAAGUACGACCCUACAGGUAUCUAGCAGUUCAGAAGGCUGAAAUCGAAAAACUCAUUCAAGAAAUGUUGCAGGCUGGGAUUAUUCGGGACAGUAACAGCCCUUUUGCUUCCCCAGUAGUCAUGGUUAAGAAGAAGGAUGGGAGCUGACAUCUCUGUAUAGACUAUAGGUAGCUCAAUUAGCUGAUCGUCAAGGAUAGAUUCCCAAUUCCUAUUAUUGAGGAGUUUUUGGAUGAAUUGGGGCAAGCUCACUACUUUUCUAAGGUGGAUUUGCGUUCUGGUUAUCACCAGAUUCGAAUAUGUGAACAAGAUGUCUUUAAAACAGCCUUCAAAACUCAUGAGGUUCAUUACGAAUUCUUGGUCAUGCCAUUUGGCCUAACCAAUGCGUCCUCCAGCUUCCAGUCCUUGAUGAACUCGAUUUUUCGAUCCAUGUAGAGAAGAUUUGUGUUGGUGUUUUUUGAUGACAUCCUUGUGUAUUCGCAAGGGUGGUCUGAUCACUAGCGUCAUUUACAUGAAGUUUUUCAAGUAUUGCGAGCAAAUCAGCUCUUUUCCAAGAGGUCCAAGUUUACUUUUGGAGCCACACAUGUGGAAUAUUUGGGACAUGUCAUUUCUCAAGGCACUGCGAGUAUGGAUCGAGCUAAAAUAGCAAGUGUCCUAGAUUGGCCUUCUCCACGAUCGAUUAAAGAGUUGAGGGGAUUCCUCGGCCUAUCAGGGUAUUAUAGGCGGUUUAUACGAGGGUAUGGGUUAAUAGCCAAGCCUCUUACUAUACUGUUAAGACAGGGAGUUUUAUGGCAGUGGACAGCACAAGAACAAGUGGCCUUUGAGCAACUCAAGUCAGUAGUUUGUCAAGCUCCAGAGUUGAUUUUGCCCAAUUUCCAGGAGCGGUUCUGUGUGGAGACAGAAGCCAGUGGAUGGGGAGUAGGAGUAGUUCUUCAACAGAAUGGGAAGCCAGUAGCUUACUUUAGUAAACCAUUGGGAAUCAAAUACCAAGCUUUAUCUAUUUAUGACAAAGAGAUGAUGGCUGUGCUAUUGGCUGUUAAGAAGUGGCACUCUUACCUUGUGGGCAGGCAUUUUAUUAUUAAAACGGAUCAUCAAAGUCUGAAGUUUCUCUUUGAGCAACAAGCUAUCACACCUUGUCAACAGAAAUGGGUGGCUAAGAUGCUUAGCUAUGACUACUCAAUCAUGUAUCGCAAAGGGUCACAAAAUACUGUUGCGGAUGCAUUGUCCAGGAAACCCUCUUAGUCUAUUCAUCAGUUGUUUCACUGUGAAGCUACUGGUCUAAGAUAUGGGACCAGAUUCUAGGCUUAUAUGUGACAGAUCAGAAGCUUUCUCAACUAUGUGACCAGAUGCGUACUCAGCCACAUUUGCAUCCUAAAUAUUCGUGGCAUGGCACUUUUUUGCGCAAGAAGAACAAGGUGGUGGUAGGCAAGGAUAUUCCACUCCGAAAAUAGAUUUUUAGCAUCUUCUAUGAUACCUCUUUGGGCGGCCACUCCAGGGUCCAUGCUACGAGGCAUAGAAUCUCAACCUUGUUGUAUUGGAAGAGGCUGUCCAAGGACAUCAAGACUUGGGUAUGUGAAUGUGUUAUUUGUCAACGAUGUAAGGCAGACAACGCGGCUUUACCUGGACUCUUGCAACCAUUGCCAAUUCCUGAACGGGAUUGGCCAGACAUUAGUAUGGAUUUUAUUGAAAGAUUACCAAUUUCACAAGGGAAAUCAACUAUCUUUGUGGUAAUUGACAGUUUGACCAAGUACAGUAAUUUUUUGGCAUUAACGCACCCUUUCACUGCUAUCACAGUGGCUUAAAAGCACCUCAAUCACAUAUACAAGCUUCAUGGAAUUACUGAGUCCAUUGUCUUGAAUAGGGACAAAAUGUUUUUGAGUCAGUUUUGGCAGGAAUUGUUUAAGAAAAUGGGAACCAAGUUGAAGAAAUCGAUAGCCUACCAUCUCCAAACAGAUGGUCAAACUGAGAUUUUAAACAAAUGUUUGGAAGGUUACUUGAGAUGUAUGGUUGGGGAGAAACCUUCAUCAUGGACUUCUUGGCUUCCAUUGGCCGAAUGGUGGUAUAAUACUACCUAUCAUUUCGCUAUACAAACAACCCCUUAUGAAGCUCUUUAUGGACAGUCUCCUCCCCUACAUUUACCUUAUGUGGCGGGUGCAUCUCCAGUUGCUUCAGUUAAUCGCACCUUGCAGCAAAGAGAACUUAUGCGUAGGGCUCUCAAAUUUCAUCUUGCUAGAGCUCACGAUCGAAUGAUGCAAAUGGCGGAUAAAAGAAGGACUGAAAGAGAGUUCUAGAUUGGUGAUCUAGUAUACUUGAAGUUGCAGCCCUACCGCCAACAUUCCUUGUGCAAGUUCCGGAAUCAGAAGUUGGCACCUCGGUAUUUUAGACCUUUUUCUGUGGAAGCUCGGAUAGGACAGGUGGCGUACAGGCUGGCUUUACCACCAUCAGCUCGAAUUCAUCAUACUUUCCAUGUGUCCCAAUUAAAAAAACACAUUGGUUUAGCUGUGAGUGCUCCUACUUUACCACCAAUUGGUUCGGAUGAUGCCCUUCUUAAGUCACCAGUUCGGGUGUUGGAUCGGCCUUUGGUCAAACAGGGGAAUCAAGCUGCAGUGGAGGUAUUGGUCGAAUGGGCGGAUACUUUUCUUGAGGAUGCUUCGUGGGAAAAAUUGUUGGAUCUACAACGUCGGUUUCCCACAUUUGAUCCUUGAGGACAAGGAUCUUUUCGAGGGCGGGCAAUUGUUAUGGUUUAGCUAACGGUCAUAUCUUUAUUUAUAUUUCUGUUAAGGCUGUUAAAAAUAAUUUGUUAAACGCUGCAUUUCUUUUAAGUGGUUUAGUGAUAUGGUGAGUUUUUGUCUAGUCAAAACGGGUGCAUUUAGUCUAUUGCAGUAUAGUUGUUAUUGCUGUCAUUAUAUUGCUUGUAAUAGGUAGUGGAUGGCAUAAUGAUAAUAUGUGAUUUAUAUAUAUAAUAAAAGUUAAAAUAAUAAUAAUAUAUAAUAUAUGUUAUAAUAAAACAAAACAUUAAAACCCACCAUUUUAUGUUCAUCUUUUUUUUUUCACCGAAAGUAGAAAAGAAAAACAAGGUUUGAAAGCUUCAAAUAUUCGGCCAUUUUGAAGCUUAAUUCAAGGUUAGUUUUUGUUCAGUUUUUGAUAAUUUUUACGUUUUUGAGAUCGUUGCUUUGAAUACUUCAAAACCCAUGUCUUAAUUUUGUGAAUUGUUGAUGAUUUUGAGAAAUGUAAUUGAUGAAUUCUUGAGCUUUGUUAUAUUUGAUGAUGAAAUAUGAAAGAUAUGUGAAAGAUUAACAUGUUUUGUCUUUGAAUUUUUGAUGAAUUCGAGUAAUUAGGCUAAAUUGUAAAAAAAUAAAAUUUUGAAGGACUAAAUUGUGAAAUAAAUGAAAUUUUUGGGCUUGUAUGGGCACUAGGAAUAUUCGGUCAUUAAGGAGUGUAGUCAAAUUUUGUGUAUUUGGUGUUUUGAGCAAAAAGGGCUAAAUUGUGAAAAUGUGAAAUAUUAGGGGUAAAAAUGUAAUUUACCCAUUUAUGUGUUCUUAGACUAAAUUGAAUGAAAAUAUGUUUAAAUGAGAUUUAUUUGAAUACGUUUAGAUCAAGAAACCAAGAAAUCGGAUUUAGAUCGGGGGAAAUCGAAAAUAGUUGAGUAGCCGAUUUAUUAGUCGACGACAUACGAGGUACGUUAUUAAGCAUAUAUAUUCGUAUCGUUUUAAAUCAGCUUAGUAUUUACGUAAUUAUGCUGAAUUGAAUGAUAUAUAUAUACAUGUAGUGAUAAAAUUAUUGAAAUAAGAUGUAUUGAGUUGUAGACUUUCGACACUAAGUGCUCCUUUGGAUUGAAGUAAAACGGCAGUGAGGCACGUUUGAAAGGAAAAGGUGGUGCCAAACUCACUGCAUUUGUGUUUGGUUGAGGCUUUCAGUGCAGUGAGGUUGCUUUUCAACCACACUGAUCAGCUGAUUUUCAGCUGGAGCAAAUAACAGCAGUUAGAGGCAUUCAGUGCAGUUGACAUUAUAACAGACCAAAAUAGCCUUACUUUUAUUUAUUAUUUUACCAUUUUAUCCUUAGAAAUUAAGUUGAUUUCAUUCCCAAAAUGCAAAAAACCCUGCUCUUCAAUUGACAGUAACAAAACUCCACCGUAACAGCAGAGCAAACUCUCUCAAAGAAUUUAAUUAUAACUAUAAAAAAAUUAAAAAUAAUUAUCAUUUUAUCUAAUAAUUAAUUUAAAUUAAUUAUAUAAUUCAUUAAAAUAUUGGAAGAUACAUUUUAAUAUUUUAUUAAAUGAAUUUGCAUAUUUUAAUAAUUUUAAAAAAGUAAAAUAAUUUAAAUAACUUCUAUUAUAUAUCAAUUCUAAUCUGAUGUCCUUAAUAGUCAUUUUUCAUUCUCACCUCACCGCUACAGCUGCGUUUGAAUCCAAACACACACUCCACCAUUAUUUCUAAUCUCACCGCUACAGUACCCAAUCUCACCGCUACAGUAACUAAUCUCACCGCCACCGCUGUUUUUAACCUCACCGGAGGUAAACACACCGCCCAUCCAAACUAGCCCUAAGUGUGCGAGUUUAAUGGUAAAGCACUAAGUGUGCGAGUUUGAUUAUUAAACACUAAGUGUGCGAACUUAUUAAAUAUUUUCGAAUAACUAUUAGCAUUGAGUAUUUGUCUUAUUGAGAAAUCAUGAUUAGUAAAAUGAGUAAAUACUUGGGAUUCUUGAGUUGCCACUUUUGACAACUCAGAUAUCAAAUUCCCUGAUUUCAGGAAACUAGAAUUGAUAUAAGAGUACGAAGAACUAGGGUUACAAAAAGCAUAAACAAGUGUUGAAUAUAAAUGGAAUAUACAUGCUACAACAUUAUUAGCAUCACUUUCUUCUCGAGUACGCUACGUAUGCUCGCGCUGGAGCCCUAGCCUCAGAUUGUUGAAUUACUGACUCUGUCCCUCUUCUUUGACUACCUUCGAUAUAGAAGCACCAUGAGGAUUUCCCAAACCUUUAAUAGCAGAAGUGGACCUUUGAGUGGUAGAGGGAGAAUCAACAUCAUUCCUUAGACAAUCCCGAUCUUUUUCUAAUAUUCGACCUAUGUCUUUUUCCGCAAAGAUUACAACUCAGAACUUCAACAUCUCUUGUAGGGCCUUUAAUACUACCCCAAACACUGACAGUUGUUGAUCUCGGCCUCUCUCUGACCAGGCAGUCCUCGAAGUCGACCUCCAAGGUUCUCGAGACUCUCUAGCUUGCUUAGGAAAUGGAUACGAACUAGAAGUCCUUGCUCAUUUCCCGAAGGCUCGGGAGAGUUCAGUCAUCUUAUUAAGGCCAUAGCUUAAUCGACCAUCUUUGCCUGUUCAGUUAGGUAAGCAAGUUCUUUUAUUUUAUGCGAGACCAAUUGAACUUUAACCUUAUCAUACAAUCCCUGAAGGAAUUGCUUACAAAUUUACUCCUCCACCGACACUAAUUCCAAAGCGUAUUUGUUGAUCCAUAGAAAUUCACACUUGUAAUCGACUAUUGGUGUAACACCCUAAACUCGAUCCGAUGUAUCGAAGCCGGAUCUUAGGUAUUACCGCACCAAUACAAAUGUAAGCUUACCCUACUUACACAAAUUACAAUCGGUUACAACUUACUCAAUUACAAAACUUCAAACAAAAGUACAUAAGUACAUACAAUCAAGUGAAUACAAGUACAACUCAUGGUAAUUAAAUUGCAAAAAAACAUCUAGCUUGAAAUCCUAAUCUAUCAUAGAUAUUCUCGGGGUGUAAAUUUCUAUGCACUGGCUAAGGCUUUGAACACAUUGCCUAACUCGUUUUAUAUGCAUAAUAAACCGAUACGCCAGUCCUUAGCGUAGUCCUGACCUCGUUCCCCUAGGUACAGUCUCACAUUCAUCCUGAAAGAUAGGAAAUAACCAUGUAAGUUUGUAGGAACUUGGUGGGAAUAAUCAUUUAUACCUUAGUCGUUGUAUUCCAUAAAUAGGCAGAUGGUCCAUUACCACUAACUUUUCUUCUUUAAACUUUAUUUAUCUAUUAUCAUGAGAAUCACACCAUUUAUGAACAUGAUAAUUUCUUCUGUCCCAUAUAACAUGACAUGUAUCCUUUAUCAUAGUUUUAUCGAUGAUUUCAUCCCAUCGGACUUCCUUUUUAGAUCAUCUUGAUGAUGGGUUUUUUAACCAUAUUCUUCGUAAAUCAUCAUUUAGAGUUACUCUUUAUACUUGAUCAUUCUUUAACCAUAUUUUACUCUUGCUAUUUACAAGUAUAUGCCCUACUUUAAGUUAUUAGAUGUCGUCUUUACUCAGAUUUGUUCCUUAAACUCACUUGGCUCUUACUUAGUAUUCAUCAAACAACACAUUCUACUCAUACUUAUCUCGAUUUUAAAAGAAUCCAGGCAAGAUACACUAUUCCAUCUCGUACAGAGUCCGCCACAAAAGAAGAUCAUUAAAAAUAUCUCACCAUGGGUUUAAUAUGGUCUACCACAAGGGCAUUUCCUUUCAUAUUUUGCCAUGCAUACCGUUCCUUCAGAGUUCAUUAUGAAUACCAUUCUUUUGGACUUCGCCACAGAGGUGUUUCAUUCAGAUGAUUGCCACAAAGGCUAAUCUUUUUAUUUUUUGCCACAAAGGCUUUCUUUUCAUGGUUUGCCACCAAGGCUUUCUUUUUAUUGUUUACCCCAAAGACUUUUUUACUGACGUGUUUACAAUAUAAAUUUUCCUAAACUUACAUUAAGUGAGGUUUGCUCAUCAUUGUCUUCGGACACAUAAAAAGACUCCAUUGGGUAAUAACUGUCCUUUUAGUUCUUUUAAAAAUGCCAUGACCAUGGACUUUUCCUUUCAGAGAUUAUGUAUUGACACCAUUUAAGACUUCACAUUUUAAUCCAUCAACAACACUCAACCACCUCACAUCUCAUCACAUACAUUACAUUUAUGCUCAUACAAUCAUACUUCUUCAUAAAAAAUACUUGUAACGUGCUUGACUUAUCAUAUUCCAUAUAGACUACACAUGCAAGACCCAACAAACAUUCAUACAAUAGUAUAACCUUCUUACUAUACUUUUUUAAUUCGGUUUCUUAGUUCAUUCAAUUUUCAUAAAAAUAUCUAGCAUACACGAUAUAAAUGUAGGAGUCAAUUUAGGGACUUACCUGACAGCCACAAAUAACAGCUUGAACUCCAGAUCCAAUAAGAAACUGCAACUACCACUUGACAUGGAGUAACUAAUGACAGAGACCCAAAUCUAUCGCUUUAGCUUGAAGGAGAAAGAAACAUUGUAAGUUCUUUAAGAUUCAAGUAACAAUACUACUUGAGGAAUGAAGAAGAAAACUCUCAGUUUUCCAACCUUAGUAUCUAUAUAAAUAACCUAAGCCCUUAUUGGAACCUGAUACAUGUCUUAAACUUUCAAGAUUACCUUAAUAAAAUGGUUUAUAGCUGUAAAUGGAAAUUUAAUAUUUAAUAUUUUAUAUUUUUGGUCCAACUCUUCGUUCCAUCCUAACUACCUCGUUAGUACAAAACUAACUUGAUAAUCCAAUAAACUGGGUGAACAAUACAUUUGGCGAUAACCCAAUUCACCAAAAAAUCCUUAUUAUUCUUACCAACCUCUUCUUCUCUACAACUCAUCACAUUUAGAGAACAAUCUUUGCAAAAUACUAUAACGUCAACUACGCCCAACCGAUACGCCAAAAGCAUCAAUUGGGAGGAUAGCACCACGCCAUUCAGAUUACUUUUGGUUUACUCGCCAAAUUCAGGAUUCACCAAAAUAGGGUGUUAGAAUUGACAUAUCUAUUGGAUCUAAUGCCUUAAGUGUAAUAUUUUUGUCAAUAUACACUUGUAAUUUUUUAUCAAACAUAUUGGUUAAUAAAACAAAUUCAUAUAUUACAUUAACAUACUUUGUAUUAUUGUCCUCACAUGGUUUUUGCACGUAAAGAAAAAUAGAAGUAAAUAUUAGUCAUUGGUUGUCUAAAUGUUUACUUAAUACUAAACGAUAUUUCGUGGUCGGGUCAUAGUACAGAAAGACAACUUGUAUUAGUAGACAAACCUAAACAUGUUCUUAGUCCAAUCGAAAAUGAGCAAACCGAUUGCAAAACUACUAUUUCGUCUAUCAAGUCCAAUUAAGGAGAUGCCUUGUCUUGGACAUCAGAAAGGAUGACUCCUAGAAGAUAGAGAUAUAGAUGUGAUUGACUGGACUGACAGUACAUCGGAUAAGACCCAAGAAAAAUAGAUCCUGAAUUCAUUUAUGGAUUUAUUCACUUGUGUCAUUCAUAGUGUGACAUACCUAAAUCCUAAGUGGAUGACAGACUAUGUAUGCAUGACUUGUACACUUUGGUGUAACUAAAAGCAUGAGUUCAAAUAGAUAAAGAACUGAAAGCUGGUGUGUUGGGUGUACGGCUUCUGUAAUAUGUAUCAUCAUUCACAACAGUGAAAUUCAUAGCCCAAAAUAUGGGUAAAUGAUAUCCUCUCGUUGGCAUUACAUGGUUGACGAAAAGAAAAUGUGGCCACACGUCAUCUGUCUUUGUGAUGGAUGACUUGAUCACUAUUUGAUAGUGAUUGAAUUUUAAUGAAGGAAGAUGUAAUGAUCACCAUGAUAUAAAAUAGGAUCAUACUGGGAGAAAAGAUGUUAUCCCAAAGAGAUCAAGGAUAUCCUAUGAGGGUAACAGAUUUAUGGCAAGGUCAUUGGACGAGCACUUAGUAGUUGCAUUCAUAAUGGUAUAUCGUUGAAGAGAGCUCAGUCAUGAUACUAUAGUGGAAUAAUUUUGUGACUAAAUGAUUUUAUAAUUAAUAGGUGAAAAGCUAGAACUUAACUAUAAAUCAUUUGAGCCUCAACUACAUAUGUCUAAUCAGUCCCUCCGCUAGCUCGUUGAAACCAAAAAUGAAAGGAAUGAUAGAAAAAGAGAAAUUGGAAACAUUCAAGAAUGAUUAUGGUUUUCUCUAAAAUGGAUAAAUGAAAUCAUUUGGAAAUAAAUGUAAGUUUCCAAAAAUGGUAAUGAAAAUGAAAAUGGAAACUUGCAAUCCUAUAAAGGAUUACUUAAAAAUGACAGAAGAAUGAGUUUAUGUUUUUGGACUGCUUUGAAUCUCGAAAAUGAAAAUAAAUAUUUGGUCAUAGUGAACUUGUUUAGUUGUGACAUUGGACAAAUUUUCUCAAAAUUUUACUGGGGUAAAAUCGUCAAAAUUUUACCGGGUUAAAUUCGUCAAAAUUUUACCAGGUUAAAAUUGGGGUGAGAAAAUUAUUUAAUAUGUAGAUAUUAAAGUUUAUUUUGGGAAGUAGAAAAACUGAAUUAGGUUGGAUCAUAUUACAGAGUAUUGAGUUAAAAAGGCCCAGGAGAUACUCGUAAUUUGGACCCGAUGUGAGAGAGACCCAAAACCUGAUAUAACAUAAAGGGGGCAGCAACCCUAGUAGAAAUUCAAGGGUAAGUCAUUCACACCUCUCCUACUCUAAGUAGAAUGCUGUUUUUUUCUCUUUAAAAUAAACAUCUACAACUCUACAGUGGUUCUACCUUCUUUUUCUUUAAAUAAAUGGCAUCGAUAGAGCUAUUAAGACAAUUUUUGAGAGAUUGUUAUUCUGGCAAAAAAUAAAGAGAAUUUAUUUUCAACUUAUAAAUCUAGUUUUUAGAAUACCAAUUUUACUAGUUUCUAUUAUGAAGAGAGAAUUUUUGUUUUCACUUUAAAAGGAAAAUUUUUUCUAGUUCUGUGUUUUGAUUCAAUUGGUUCGAGCACACACUCGAACCAGUACAUGGUACGGGAAUAGUGGAGAAGAUCAUUUGGUUGAAAGUCAAAAAACAUCAAGGAUUCGCUUAUUUGAAAAUAUAAGUAUGAUUUCGGUUCAAGAUUUAUUACUAUAAAUAUCACAAACCGGGUUUAUUUUUAAAACUUUAAUUUUUCUUUAUGCAAGAAAAUCAUUUUCAAACCGGGUUUUUUCCAACAAUAUCGCUCUAUCUUAACAACAUAAACUCUUGCUUUCGAUCCUUUAGAUAUAAUUUUCCAAUUUUUUUGAAAUUCAGACUGAAAUAAAUCUUAAUUAAUCCAAUCAGUUGGUACGCGUCAGGUAACUCUCAGCCACCAUCGAUAUGCCUCCUCUUUCAGGAGGGAAACUGUGCACAUGACACAUUUGUGCGGAGAACACUUGAGCUAUUGCAAUACCCAAUCCGUCAAUUCAAGCUAAACUUCAACUGACGAGGGAUCAAUGCCUUUCAAUCCUUUAAACUCGAUGGCACCAUACUUCCUUAAUUCUUUUAUCAGAGCUCGUUGAACUAUGGACACUAGUGUAACUUGUGGAGUAGCUUUCGCCGCUCGCUAAAGGUAUUCUACUAUAAUGCAGAGCAUAUUUUCAUCUCCCUAACUUUCUGGUUGUGGUCUAGUAGCUCUAUCUGAUGAGAAUUGAUAGAUCAAUGUCAGGUGCCUCAAUCUUGAUUCUAUUCUCACUCACAACGAAGCGAUCGUUGUUAUAAAUAUUAUUACCAGCAUCAUUUAUCAAUUCCUCUGACAUAUUCAGCUGUAAAACUGAUGAAUUUUAUAAUCAUCCAAAUCUCAACUUAGAUUUAACUCGACUUGGUAUGUACCUCUAAAAUCAAUUUCGAGCUCGAUUUAGUCCGAAAAUCAACUAAAACUAUAACUUUGAUACCACUAAAUGUAACACCCCAUACUCGACCCGAUCACCGGGUCUAAAUUAUAGGAUGCCAGAUUCGUUACCUUAGCAACUAUGAUUAAUUGCAUUCAGUUUGUACCAUUGAACAUCCAUUUAUGAGUAUUAUAAACACAUGAUAAAAUAUACAAUCAUUUCUGGGUCUUAUACAAGCUUACAAAAGAUUUAAUGCUAACCUAAGGUCGAAUUAGAACCAAAUUGUAAAGAUUUCAAAGUAUCGGGUUGACGUCGUGACUUCGAGGGUUCUUCAUCGCAACGCAACUCACUAGCUAGGCUUGUCGUGAUAUUUAGAAUACGUCUUCGCAAUGUGAUUGAUUGUCUCCAAAUGGUCCAAUUUGGCACCUAUUCCAUUCACUUAUUUAUACAAUAUAUCCCUUCCAUUCAAUCAAUUAAACAAAAUACCAUAAUCGAUCAGCCCUUGGGGCUUAUUCUAACUCAUUUCAUAUACCAAAUAACCAAUUCAUGUUUUAUAAAGCUAUUAACUAGACACAAAAUCAGAACGGAUAUGCAGAUUCACCACCCCAGGUUUUCUGACAAUGACGACGUUAAAGAUGUAUAUGCUUUCGUCUCGGGUUGCCUGGCAACGAUGACGCUGAACAUGUACAUACUCUCACCCUGGGUUCCCCGACAAUGAUAUUUUCAUAAUCUAAUUAUUCUGUCACCCUGGGUUGCCCGACAAUAAUAACUUUAUAUGUACAAUCUACCUCCCCGGGUUUCUCGACAACGAUGGUUUCUAAUCAAUAUCCUGACCCUAUAGCAUGCUAACUAUAUCCAAAUCUGUUUGAACAACUAAUAUGGUAACCAAAUUACCAAUUUCAUUAGUUGAUUCAAUUCAUAUUCCAAAACUCUCAAUUCAUCAUAUUAUAUUCAACCACAAAUUCACAUUAAUUAUCAUAUAUCAAUUCAUUCAUGAAAUUUCUAUCCUAUUCAAUUUAGUCCUUAACUUGGUAUCCAAUCUCAAUCAUAACAAUUCAAUUCAAAUAACCAUUGACAAGUCACCUCAAUACCAUAUAAUUUCAAAUGUCAUGAAUAAGAAAUAACUUAAUUGAUCUAGAAUCAUAGAAAUACAAACUAGGUUUUUAAGUCACUCGUCAGCAAAUUUCAUUUUUCCUUUCCCUCUCAAAAGUUCCGCGUUGACAUUAGCAAAGUAUAAUCACAAAACAUAUAACACGUCAAUUUCCAUUCAAUUUCACAAUUAAAUACAAUAUCAAACAUAUUUUAUAAUUUAUUUAAUUUAGCCCUUAAACUUGGGACAUACAUAACUUUUGAUCUAAAGCUUCAGAUUAAAAUACGAUGUCACAUAUAUUCAUUGGGGACCCUGCUACUUUCUAUUCUUAUCGAAAUUUCAUAACAAUUUUAUAUUUUAUUCAAUUUUCCCCUAAUGUACAAAGCUAACAAUUAAGCUUUAGAAUUUAGUCUUUUUCAUAAACUGAGCUUAAUUUUUAUCAAUUUCACACCUAAUUCAUCCAAUUCUCAACAAUGGGAACUUAUUAAAACUUCAAAAAUUGAAAUAAUUCAUACAUGGGCUAGCUAAAUUAAGCUCCCAUGAUUCAAUUUCCAUCAAAAUUAAAGAAAAAUUGCUAGGGACUUACAUGAAAAUGGUGGUCAAAUGUUCAAACUAGGUUAAAGUUUGCUUCUUUUUUUCUUUCUAAUGGUUUCAUUGGCUUAAGGGAGGAAGAUGAAAACUUCACACUAAGUGUUUUCUUUAUAUACUAAUAUUAAUACUUAAUCAAUCUUAAUUAACCUUAAUUUAUUCUUUAAUUAAACUAUUUUUAAUUAAUAAAUUAACCUUAAACAAUUCAUCAUUUUCGGCCACCAGUUAUAUGAAAACAAUAGUUUAAUAACCAUUUUAGUCUUUGGGAUAAUUUCUAUCUAGAUCUCUAGUCAUUUCCUAAUUAAAAUCUAUAGUGAUUGGACUUUUACAAUUUAGCCCUUGGGCCUUAAUUAACCACAAUUUUGGCUAAAUUUCUUAAUCUAAUUUCAAUUCAUCUAUAUACUAACUCCGUAAAUAUCUUUAUUUAAUAUUUAUGGGGUCGAUUUACGAAAAAAAGGUCCAAAAAUAAUAUUUUUUAUACCACUAGAAACCGAGUCGUUACAGAUGCUAUCUUACUUACGAGAGAAUAUGUAUCAAAGAAGCCUAUGCCUUCUUUUUGCCUAAAGCCUUUGGCUACUAGCUUGGCUUUAAACUUAUCAACUGACUUAUCAGGCUUCAGUUUCUUUCUUAAUACUGACUUACACUUUAUUAGUUUAUAGCCUUAUGACAAGUGUACUAGCUUCUAGGUUUUGUUGGUUGUCGAAGAGUCCAUCUCAUCAUUAAUGGCUUCAUUCGAAAGGUUUGAAUCAAGAGAAUAUAAGAACUCAUCUAAAAAGUGAUAGGCUUCUUUCCAAAGGUCUAAAUCAAGAGAAGAUAAACAUGUGUAUAUCUUAAAAAACAUCAUUAAUAAAGGCUAAAAAUAUACUUUGUCCACCUUGUUCUAGAAAUCCCUCAAAUUCAAAAAUAUCAGCAUAAAUUAAUUCUAACAAUUCAGAAUUUCUUACCACACUUAUGAAGAGUUUUCUUGUGAACUUGUUCAUGCUACAUGAUACAAAAAUUUCAAAUUCAUGUGUUUCACAUAUAUGAUAUUUACAUUACACAAUCUAGCAUAGCACACAUUUACAAAAGAAAUUAUAUAAGCAGAAGUAAUUGAAAUUUCAUUCAUUUCCACAUUAUAUUAAACAUGCCUUCACAAGAAUAACCUUUCCUAACAAAUAUACCAUUUUCAUAAGAACAAAUUGACCUAAUUCAAAAACAAAAUAAAUCUAAGAUCAUGUUGGGGAUUGACUCGAUUAAACAACAAACAAGUAAAAAAUAAUGGAAGAAAUUAAGAAAUUAAACAUACAAAUUUAACGUGGAAAAACCCCUCCAAAGAGGAUAAAAAACCAUGGGCAAAGAUAAUUUUACUAUAAUGACAGAAAAACGAAGAGUACAAAAAUAUGGAGAUAAAAACUAAACCCCGAAACCUGAAAACAAAGAACCUUCAAAACGUAAACACAAAAUUCUCCAAAAGUUUUAUGAGUUUUAAUCUUUAAUGGGUGUAUUUUCUAAGUUGUAAAAAAGCCUAUUUAUAGGCUAAAUUCACAGGUUAAAUAAAAAAUAAUAAUCUAGACUAAUCAGAGUUUGACUGAAACAAAUAAACAGAGUUUAACUAGGAGAUUAUCGCUCAAAUUUGACUGAAAUAUGAGUCAUACUCAACAAAUCUCCACCUUGACUCAUAUUUCCACAAUGCCACCUUUGCCAAAACCUGCCACAGCCUUAUCUUGAACUAUGAAUGAAUUAACUAAGUCGAAUCUAUGAUUAGAAGCUAGAAGACUUCUAGCCUUGGACUUGUGCACUGUCAAAUCAAAACUAACCUAGGUCUGAUUUUCAAGAACACAGUGCCCUAACUUUUCAAACCUACAUCCAAAAGAGAACCUCUCUUCAAUGAAAUGGCCAUACAUUUUUCCCUCCUAUGACCAAGUUUCCUCCCCUCCAAACGAGUAGACUUUGACACCAUAACUAACGAGGGACGUCUAGUUUCAUCGGUCACUACAGAACCUUCCAAAAUAUAAAGACUGUCGGUCCUUUUACCUUUUAACAAAAUAAUAGCCUCACGAGACACCUUAAUAUCGGUCGACUCGAUGCUGAUUCUGCAACCGUUCAAGUCUAAAAUACUCAAGGAUAUGAGAUUUCUGACAUCUGAGAGUGUCCUAAUCAUCUCACCGUGCAUCCUAAUUUUAAUAGUACUAAUACAACUUACUGGAUGAAUCGUUUCCUAUGCGCACAACUCCACCUUCAACCGAACUGUAUGUAGAGAACCAUUCUCUAUUGGGACACAUGUGGAAAGAACAUCCCGAAUCUAGGAUCCACUCAGACGUAAGCUCAAAGCUAUCGCUCAUUGACACUAACAAGAAAUCAUCACCACUUUCGUCGGUCAAAUUAGCACCACCUACAUCUUUCUUAUUACUCUCAGUAGCCCUUUUAUUUCGCAGUUUAUAACAAUUUGCUUUGACGUGACCUAACUUCUUACAAUAGAAACACAUUUUGUCUCGCUUCUUUGAUACUACCAAAAUAGAAGCUUGCCUAUCUUCCUUACUAUCCGAGCCAAACUCAUUGUCAAGUUUAUCUUUACUCAAAAAAUGACCCUUCACAUUCUCAAACAAGAGUUUGUCUCUACCAUAAAUCGGGAUCUCCCUGAAAGACUUGUAUGAAGAGGGUAAAGAGCACAAUAAUAGCAUAGCGUAAUCUUCAUUGUCAAUCUUAACCUUAACAUUCUUUAAAUCAUUCAAAAGAGUAAUAAAUUGACUAAUAUGACCUCUAAGAAGCUUACCUUUGUUUAUGCAAAAUGUAAAUAGACGUUUCAACAAUAAAUGGUUAGCCAGAGACUUACUCGCAUAAAGAGUUUCUAACCUUUUUCACAAGGCGAAUGAGUUUUUAUCCAUCAAUACCUCUUGCAAUAACUUAGUCGCAAAGCACAGCUGGACUGUAGACAGGCCGUUUCAUCAAGCUCUUCCCAUUCUGUCUGAUCUAGACUCUCAGGCUUUUUCCCACUAACAACCUUUUUUAGGUUGGUCAGAAUUAGAAUUUUCAUCAUCCGAACUUGCCACAGAUUGAAAUUUGUGUCACCAUCGAACUACUUAAUGUCAAACCUUGUUGUUGCCAUAUCUGAACGAGCUGAUUUACGAAAAUUAAACUAGCCUUGAUACCACUUGUUGGGGAUUGACCCGAUUAAGCAACGAACAAGUAAAAAAUAGCAAAAGAAAUUGAGAAAUUGAACAUACAAAUUUAACGUCGAAAAGCUCCUCCAAAUAGGAUAAAAAACUAUGGGUAAAGAUAAUUUUACUAUAAUGGUAGAAAACGAAGAGUACAAAAAGAUGGAGAUAAAAACUAAACUCCGAAACCCAGAAACAAAGAACCCUCAAAACGUAAACACAAAAUUCUCAAAAAGUGUUAUGAGCUCUCAUCUUUAAGGAGUGUAUUUUCUAAGAUUGUAAAAUAGCCUAUUUAUAGGCUAAAUUUGUAGGUCAAAUAAUAAUAAAAUAAUCUAGACUAAUCAAAGUUCGAUUGAAACAAAUAAAUAGAGUUUAACUCGAAGUUUAUCUCUCAAAUUUGACUAAAAUAUGAGUCAUACUCAACACAUUAUUUAAGAGAAAAUAAGAAACUAAUUUUUUUUUAUCUCAAGAGCAUGCCAAACAUACUUAAGGGUAAACUUUUUACCAUAAGUGAAAUUAAGGUCAAUAUCACCAUAAGCUAGUGCAUGAGUGAUGUGUGAGUCACCAAGCGAUAUUUUCUUUUGCCUGAAAUAUAGAAUAUGUUUUAAACUAACUUCUACCCUAGAUGUUCCAAAGUCUACCCACCAUCCUUCGAAGGAAUCAAUAGUGUUGAUCCCGCAUAUCAUGGCCAUAAGUGUCUCUUCAGUUACAUUGAACUGAUUAGAAGGUCAUGUUUCCAGAAAUGACACACUCUUGUUAUAUGUCUACAUUUCCCACGUUAUCAUAUCUUUUAUUAUUUGGCGCUUAUUUUGAGAAAGGUGCUUGGUUUUUUUUCUUUGAUUAAAUUGACUAUUAAGUUGUUUUUUAUUAAUUUUAUUUUCUUAUUUUAAUUUUGUAUUACCAUAAGUCCUAAACAUAUUACCUUUAAAACUUAUACCAUUAAAGUUAAGUAUUAUCUUGAUUUCUAUGCUCUUCUUCCACUCUUAAAUGCAUGAAUAGAGAUUUAAUGAAUAAUCCUUUUUGCAUGUAGAAUAGUUGAAGUGUAAUUUAGUUUUAAAAUUUUUGGUAAAUAAGUUGGUUUAUAUUGAGAUUAAAUUUAAUUUCAUUGGAAUUGGAGGGAUUAAAAUAUAUUCUAAACCUUGGACAAAAUUAACUUUGGAUCUAUGUAUUGAAAUUGUUUAAAGUGAUGAUGAUAUUUUUGUACAAAACUUCACUUUGUUUAAUUUUGAUCCCUUUAAGGUUACGAGUUUUUAAGCCCAAUUUGAUUAUUUUUUUAAAAAAAUCUUUUAAAUUGAACUAGAAAUCAUUUUAAAAGCCUAAAUUAACAUUCUUUUUAAAAAAUCCAAAUCCAUUUGAAUGUUAAGACCAAAUUAACUUUAGGCCCAAUUUUCAACCACUCUCGGCCCAUUGUUUUUCUAAAUUUAUUAAACUGUUGCCCCGUUUUAAUUUGGUUAACCAUGAACUUACAUUUUUUCUCAAACCCUACCUAAUUUAAGAAUGAUAAUCUCGAGAAUAAUCCAUAUUUUAUUUUUUUAGAUUAGUUUUUUAAAUAUAAUACACAAGUGCACUAAAAACGCUAAAAUAAUUUUUUUAAAGUAUUUGUAUUAAAAAUAUUACCAUGAAUAGAAUAAUUUUUUAUUAUAUUAAAAACACAAAUAAAUAUAAUAAAUGUUUUAUUUUAUAAAUGUAAUUUUUAAAAUUUUAUAUUUUGGGUUGCGUUAUCUAGUAGGGUAAUUUUUUAUUUAUUUUGGGUAAUAGAUCUAAUCUUUAUUGCGUUAAUGAUUUAACAUAUAUAAUUAUUAUUUAAUAUAUAUAAUUAAUAUAAUUACUUUUUAUAACAUAAUAAAUUCAGGUCGGGCUUGGGAAAAAAUAUAUAGUCGAAGUCCGUCUCAAAAUUUUUUUCCAACCCUUCCAUUUUUUGAAAGGGCCAUCGAGCCUAGGCGGGUGACCAAACCCAUGGCCAGGUUUAGUCAGCGAUAGGAUACUAAAAACCUUUAAAAUACGAAAAAAGGAAAAAAACAUAAAAGAAAAUAAACAAAGAAUUGAAAACAAAAAGGUAGAUUCUUUCCUUCUUUACUCGGGUUAACUUUUACUUGUUCCUCGUUUUCGGCCAUUUGGCCAUUCCUUUUUUUUCAUGCAUGUGUGUAGAAUUAAACCAAAGGGAGCCCAAUUCCUUUCUGUAGACAUGAACAAUGGCGAUGAACCCCAACCUUCCCUCGUCCCUGAUUUUCCCGAACUUUUUAUUUUCUUUUUUUUACUCUUCUUUUUUCGAAUCUAAGAAGAACCAAACCCAAACGUAAUCUACAAAAAAAAUUUCUAAGAACACACAAAAUUAGAUCUAAGAGUUUUUUCUUUCAAAACUUUUUAUCAAAUUUGAAAAUACAUAUAGAAAAGAAAAGAUCCCAAAGUUUUUGAAGAAAAGAUAAUAAAACUUUUUUUUUGUUGGGCUACCAAGGCUUCAAGUAGAUAGGCUUCUCCAUAUGUUCCGUGAGUCGGGCCAAUUCAAGCGGGUCAAAUGAGCCCUAUUUAAUCUAUUAACUUCUAUGAUACAUUUAUUGCGCAAUAGUCACGGACUUUGAUCUGCAACCCAUGACAUUCCCCCCACCUAUUCUCACAACGCCCUCGUCGUGUCCUCGGAAUGACACUGGUUUGACUCAUCUCGAAAUGGUCUCAAUGCCUUCGUUAAUUCCCAACUAGUCUCUCUGUUGGGUAGUUCUGCUGCUUGGAACAUUUGCCUCAGUUUAUGUCUUUGUUGUUGCCUAACUCAAAUUGUAAUUAUCUCUUGUACAUAUCGAUUGUAAGAGGUCACUGCUCUUAUUUGCCCCUAUUGUGACUUGCCUCGAUCAGGAUCAUCUUGAUCCGCACAAAUAGGCUCCGACACACCAACAUAAAACACUGGGUUAACCUUGAGUAUUGCUUCUAACUCUAGUUUGUAAGCCCUUCGACUUACCCGCUUUAGAAAUCUGAAAGGACUCUUGUUUCUUUGCCAAGCCAACAUUAAGUCAAAAUGUAAAACAAUAGAUAAGUGUUCGAGAUAUAACUCGCUCAAAUAAUUUACCUUGUUUGAUUUCCCAGCUCACAUCACUACUUUUCCCAUAAAGUCUGAUGCACAACCCACCUCUCUCAUAGGUGGUAGCCCGCAGAUGACUCAACAUGUUUCAUAUUGAUAUUUUACCCAUCUAGCAUUUCUAAAGGGGUCUUUGUAUCACUCUGAUCUAUCAAGUCAAUAUUCCUACUACAUGGAACAUCCUUGGCUAUAUGGGUUGCCGACAGUAUCGUGGUUCCACCCCUCACAUCUCGACUUAUCGAUAAAAUACAUUGUUGUUGUCGUCCAGAAUCCAAGAUGCAUAAGUAAUUGAAAAAAGGAACCAACAAAGCAUUAAUCUUGUCAAGGAAGUUCAAGCCAAGCGCAAAAUUGUAAUCUUUUAAGUGAAUUACCUCAAUGUAACGCCCUAGAAUUUUUAUUUUUGUUUUUGGAAAGGUGUGACACAACUGUGUAUCUGUUUUAGUGGUUAAGUGUUCUGGUAGUGUGAGAGGUCCCAAGUUCAAGCCAGGACUUGGGCAAAUUCUGGUAUUUUUAUGAAUAAUAUCUUUGGUCAGUAGGCUUUUAAGUAAAAGUUGACAAAUAAUUAACAUAAUGGGCCUGCUGGUCUGGUGGAUAAGUGGAGUGUUGGUAUGAAGGAGGUCCUGUGUUCAAUUCUCUGUGAUGGCGUAGAAACAGUAUUUUUGCUCCAAUUUCGGCUAAGAGUUGUGUUAGGGCAAAAUUCUGAGUAGUUGUGUUUUAGUGGGUUUAUAGGGAGUGAUUUUAGAAGAUAAUGGGGGAGAGGUUAUCAGGAAAUAAUCUGAUUAUCUUUUUGUUGCAGAAAAAAAGUAGAGUUUCGGUUUUCUCUCCUAUACCCAAAUUUUUUUUGACAUUUUUUUCUUCUUUUUCCCUCCUCUGUCGAUUCUUUCCCCUAGUUGCUGCCAAAAUUUCCAUUAUUUUUCCCAUUUUAUUUCUUUCUUUAUUUUCCCAUUGAUUUGGUUGUUCAUAUUUUGUUGCGUGUGUUCGGUAAGUAACGGUUUUGUCUAUUGUUAAUCGUUCUUGGUUAAUCUCUGAAAGGGGAUUCCUUUUUGGUGUUUAGGAGUUAAUCAAGGGGCUGGUGGUUUUGAAUUGACGCUGUGAUUGUGCAAAGUCAUGGUUACUCAAGCGAGGUAAGGGUUUUGUUAGCUUUUUAGUCGAGUUCCUUCCAAUUGGAUGAUUAAAAAUGAAUUAAGUGAUUAAUCUGGAGAUUUGUUGGUCAACUUUUAGGUUCUAGAGGCUUAGGAGUGUUUAUGCAUCAGAAACAAUACCAGGUGUGUACCCGAAACACAGAAAAUGAGAUUUGGUGAAAAGUCGAAAUUGCUUGCUAUCGAGAAAUAAGAGAAAUAAGAGAAAAUGAUGCAAAAAAUUGUAGAGAAAGGAAAUAAGGGUGUUAUAAACUUGGAAAUCAACAUUCUGCACUAAAAUAGUUUUGGAUAGUAGUAGUAGUCUAAAUUUGAAAAAUCAUCAAAAAUAGUGGAAAUUGAGUUAGAGGUUGAAUAAAAUAUGAAAUUAAAUUUUAUUGUGUCUAGUUUUUCAUGGAAGAAACAAUGUAAGCAAUGAAAUUGUAAUUUGAGAUAUAAUGAAUUUUGUGAGACAAGGUCAGAAUGGGUUUGGGUUCCCCUAUUUUGACUUUGGAAAAAUCAUUGAAAAUUGUAAAAAAAUAAUUAGGGGCUUAAAUUUAUAUGUUUAAAUCCUUAACGAUUCUAUUUUCAAGAGAAACAAACAGAAACAUCAUCUGAAUUCUGUACUAAAAGAUAAAUAAUUUUUAGUAAGGAAAGUUUGAAGCUAUCAAACAGUAGAAUCGAGAUAGAUUUGAAGAUUUUACUGUACUUAGUUGAUAAACUCUAAAAUCUAAAAGUUUUAUGGUAGAAAUGUAUUUGAGUCCAGUUUCGAAAACAUCAAGCGGAUCUUAAUUUGGAAUUCUGUAGCUCAAAAUAUAAAUAAUUUAGGGACAAUGACUCAAGUAGACAAAUUUGAAUGAACAUAUAAGUAAAUAGUGAAAAUAUAUAUGAAUAUUUAGCUAGCAUGGGUUACAUUAAAAAUGGAUCACAUGGCCAAGGCUAAUUUGGGCUGAGUGGACCAUAUGGGCACACACGGGCGUGUAGGCCCAUUUUUACCAGAAUGUUUCUAAGGUUGCACGGGUCUCUCAAGUCGGCUGUGAACCUACUGUAAGGUUGGUAAGUGCUACUUAAACCGCUAAAUGUGUGAAAUUGACUGAAUGAUAUCUGUACUAAGCAUGUUAAUAUCUGAGUUGAAUAUAUGUACUGAAAUUGCAUAAUAGCAUAUCAUCAAUUGUAUGUUGCAUUGCAUUUGGUUGGGUUUGUUAUUCAGAGGAAGUGUACUGAAAGGCUUUAAGCCUAAUUUACUGGCAGUUCAGCUGAAAACUACUGUUUUGUGCCGCAUUCGGUACUAGUUGGAGUGUAGGGAUAGGUAGGUUGAUUAUAUCCCCACAUGGAGUGUAGGGUUGGAUGGAGAUGGUGUGUAGAGGCUGGAUGGGUAGGAUUUUGCUACUGCAUAACUAUUACUGCUACUGAUACUGUGAUGGGUAGGAUUUUACUAAAUAUUUAUUAUGCACUUGUGGGUUAAGUUUUCUAUCAUUCUUUCAAGUGUUUUAGCUUUGUGUGAGAGUGUUUAAUUGUUGAUUAUCUACCUUUUAGAGGUAUCAUCUCAUUCAUCAUUAUUUUCUCUCAUUUGUGAGGUGUUACUUAAGGUUUUGGAUAGAAUACCUUAAGGGGAAUUGAUUCUUUCUUACCUUUAAAAAGAUAGGAAUUUGUAAGGUUAAUCCUUGUCCUUAAAGGUUCAAAUCUAGUGGAUUUGGGAAAUCCUUAGUUGCGAAAGCUAAGGUAGUAGAGGUAGGCAAUUGAGGCCGAACCACUAUAAAUACUUGAGUCGUUUUAUUUUUUCCAUUUCCCAAAAAUGUUUUCAUACACCAAUUCACCCCCUCUUUGUGUAUUUCGAUCUCAAAAUUUUGUAUAAGAGCUAGAACUCUAGAGACGGUUUUACAACCAAUAAAAAAGAUUCUCAAGAUAUCCAAGAUGGAAGCCACAAGUUAAGAAAUUUACUUCAUGGCAUUGGAGCAAAAUUCUACCAUAUUGGGAGAAGGGCAUUCCACCAUGAGGCCUCAUUUAUUCAAUGGCAUCAACUACUCAUAUUGAAGAACAAGAAUGAAUCUAUUCAUCCAAGCUAAUGACUAUGAAGUUUGAAGGAUAAUUACAAAUGGGUCAUACUUUCCAAUAAAGAGAUCAAAUAUGUUAUUGUCCUAAAGAAAGAAAGUGAAUGGGAUGAUAAUGAUAUCAAGAAUGUGUAAUUAAAUGCGAAAUCCAUGCACACUCUAUUAUGUGCUCUUGGUCCAAAUGAGUACAAUAGAGUCUCCUUGUCUGACAAUACAAAAGAAAUAUGGGAUAAGCUUGAAGUCACCUAUGAAGGAAUAAGUAGAGUUAAGGAGUCCAAGAUAAGCCUUCUCACCCUUGAUUAUGAGUUGUUUAAGGCAAAAUCGGUAUAAGGAAUCAAGGAGAUGUCCAAUCACUUUACCCACAUUAUCAAUAGUCUCAAAGCCCUUAGAAAGAUCUAUCCCAACAAGGAAAUGGUGCAGAAGAUGUUGAAUAGUCUCCCAAAGUCUUGGGAACCUAAAGUGACUCCAAUAGAAGAAUCAAUCUCUCACUUGAUGAGCUCAUCGGUUCCUUGCUGAAAUAUAAAAUGAAGAUCAACCACAAUGUACAAGAAAUCAAAGAAGCUCCAAAGAAAGUAGGAGUUGCCUUCAAAUCAACAACUUGUGAGAAGGAUGAAGGCUCUAGUAAUGAGGAGGAGGAGGAGGAGAUGGCUAUGUUUGCAAAGAAAUUCAAAAAAGUAUGAAGUUCAACAAAGCCAAAAGAUUUCCAAUAAGAGACAUCAUCAAGGGUGAACCAAGCAAGAAGAAAAAGGACCUAAUCAUUUGCUAUGAGUGCAAAAAGUCGGGUCAUAUUAAAUUUGAUUGCCCACAAUUGAAGAAGAAAGGGGCAUUAAGACAAAAGAAGAAAGCCAUGAUGACAACUUGGAGCGAUAGCGAUUCAUCUGAUAAUGAUGAGGACAAUGAAGUUGACAGCCUAUGUCUUAUAGCUAUUGAAGAACCAAAGGUAAUCCUAAAUUCUAGUGAAUUAAAUGAAUAUUCAUUUGAAGAAUUAUAAUAUGCCUUUGAUGAAUUAGGUGUAGAUUUUGAGACUAUGAAAUCCAAAUAUAAGAAAAUGAUUUCAAAAUUAAAAGAGGAGCAUAAGUCUCUAAUGAUAACUAAGAGGAAAUAGAAAAGAAAUUUAAUGAUAUGCAAGCUCAAAUUGAUGAUUUUAUUUUAAAGAAUAACCUUUUCUAUGUUUCAUAUGGGGCAACAAAAACUAAAUGAUAUGCUUGAAUCUCAAAGAGUCUUCUUUGACUAGAGUGGCUUAGGUUUUGUAAAAUUACGAAAGAAAGCAAAUUUAAAUUUUUUUUUGAGAAACCAAGCUAUAUUUAUGAUGUCUUACUCUCAUGCACACAUUGUCACAAAAAGGGGUAUAAUAGACAAGUAUGUUCAAGAAGCUCACAUUUAGGAGCAAACUCACUAAAAGUGUGUGGAUUCCAAAAGAAUUAAGCAUAUAUCAAAAUGAGGAUGCUUUAAAGAAAUGGAUACCUAAGGGGAUAAAAAUUGUUAAGACUAAUUCUAAUGGACCCAAGAAAGUUUGGGUACCAAAAUCCAAAGUUUAACUUUGUGUUUGUAGGAGGAAGAGCAUUGCUUCAAGGCAAGCAACUCUAAGGAGAACACAUGGUACCCUUGAUAGUGGAUGCUCUAGACACAUGACCAGUGAAAAAAGCCGUUUCAUGGAACUAAUGCCAAAGAAUGGAGGAGAAGUUACAUUUGGAGAUAACUCCAAAAGGCUUAUUGAAGGUAUUGGUUCUAUAAGUAUAAAUUCUUCCACUCUCAUUAAAAAUGUGCUUUACGUCAAUGGUCUUAAGCAUUGUAAUGCCCUAGAAUUUGGGCCUAGAAGUAUUGGGCCUUGAGCAAGGGAACGAUUAGGAAACUUUGCAUAAAUGAAUGUCUACUUUAGUGGUUAAGUGAUUUAGGAGUGUUUGGAAGUGUCUGAGAAGUCUUGGGUUCAAACCUGAGCCUUAGCAAAAAUUUUAGUUUUAAGUGGAUAAAACCCUGGAUGUUUGGAUGUAGGCCUUUUAAAUUUUUGUGUUAAAAAAUGUCAUAAAGAAGCAUGUGGUCUAGUGGUUAUGGCGUCAUUAAGGUUACAAGGGAGCUUGGGUUCAAGUCUUGGGUCUUGCAAUUUAUUUUGGUUUUUCUUUUAAAUGAACCUGGACUUUGACCUUUAGACCUUUUAGUUAAUUGAAGACAAAAUGUGACACAAAAAAGCUUGUGACAAGGAGGCAAGUGGUGUGUUGAGCUAUUGAGGGGGGCUUGGGUUUGAAUCCCAUUGUAAGCAAAAAAAGGAUAUUUAUUUUGCUAGCAUGAGGCGAUAGGAGUUUGAGGUGGUUUCGAACUCAGUUGGGUGAGAGUUUGAAUGGGGGUCUUGGAGGUUGUUAUGGAGGAUAUCAAGGAGGGAUAUUUGGAGAGAUUUGAGAAAAGAAUAUUGGGAUUUGGGGAGGUUGUUGUGGAGAGUUAUAAAUCAUCCACAUCUCAUUUAUUUCUUGUUCUGAAUGGGGGAGAUCAGCGAGGCUUUCAAGGUAUUCGUCGCUUUCUCCAACCUGCAUUGCUUCCAUUCCUAACUGGUGGUGGUCAGGUGUGUAAACUCCCCACUGUAACUGUAGAACGGCAAAAGUCGAAAAGCUGAAAUACGGCGUUUGAGACUACACGAGCAUGCAAUCGCUCGUGUGGAAAGACGAACCUGUGAAUCAUGGGCAAUAAAUUGUAGAGGCCUCCAUGAGCAUUUUCAUGGGCUUAAGCCGUAAUGGGCCACGUUGGGCCGUGUGGCCUCAAUGGGCUUGUGGGCCCUACACAGAUGAAACCCACUAUUUGUGGCAAAUACUAGACUGGGCUAUGUAGAUCUCAUAGUCGUGGUGAAAUCUGGGCUGAACAGGCCACACAGGCGUGUGGACCCACUUGGGCCGAGUAAUGGGUCUUGGGCCCAUUUACACUGUUAUGACCAAUUAGGUUACUUGAGUCGCUUGAGGCGAUUGCGAACCUUUCGAGAGGUCGAUAUCUGGACCGUAAUGCCCCUGUAGGAUAAAAUGACCGUAAUGCCCUUGUAGGGUAAAAUGGUCGUAAUACCUCUGUAAGGUAAAAUGACCGUAAUACCCCUGUAGGGUAAAAUGACCGCAAUACCCGUGUAGGGUAAAAUAACCGUAAUGCCCCUAUAGGGUAAAAUGGCCGUAAUACCCCUGUAGGGUAAAAUGGUCGUAAUGCCCCUGUAGGGUAAAAUGACCGUACUGCCCCUGUAGGGUAAAAUAACCAGAAUACCCCUGUAGGGUAAAAUGACCAUAAUGCCCUGGUGGGUAAAUGACUAUUUUUUCCCCUCGAGGUCAAAUGAUUGUUUUGUCUAUGGUUAAAUGACUGAUUUAUCUGUGAUUUGAAUAACUGAUUCUGAGCAUGGCAUUCUGCAUACAUGACAUACUGUAUGGGGUUGGGAUACUGUUAUGGGGGAAAUAUUGUACUAGUGGCUCUGCCACAAUCACUGUUACUGGUGGCUUGGCUACAUAUACUAUUAUUGGCAGUUUUGCUGCAAUACUGUUGCUCGCAGCUUUGUUGAGAUGCUAUUGAUGGCUUUGUGCCGAUCAUAGUACCGUUACUGAUGGCUUUGUACUGAUCAUAUUACCGUUAUCGAUGGUUGUGUGCCGAUCAUUUCACUGUUACUAAUGGUUGUGUGCCAAUCAUAUCACUGCUACUGAUGGCUUUGUGUCGAUCAUGUUACCGUUACUGAUGGUUGUGUGCCGAUCAUAUCACUGCUACUGAUGGCUUUGUGCCAAUCACAUUACUAUACUUAUGGCUUGUAGCCAUUCUGUUUAUAGCUUAUAGCUAUCCUGUUUACAGCUCUUAGCCAUUCUGCUACUGGCAGCUCUGCUGCAUUAUUACUACUGGCAGCUAUGCUACGAUAUUGGUGUGAGGGUUGGGUGGGUCGACUCUGUCCCCACAUGGUGUGUUGGGUUGGUACGGGUGGUGUGUUGGCUGGAUUGGGAUGGGUUUGCAUACUUGCACCAUACUGAUAAUGUAUCGGGCUUAGGCCCACACUGUUUCUAUAUUGGCCUAAGGCCCACACUGUACUGUUACUAUUAAAGGGCUCUGGCAUAAACUAAUUCUGUUCUGUAUGCCACUAUUUGAUAAUGGAUUAGAUACUGAGUUUUCGUAAACUCACGCUCUCCUUUUAAUUGUGCAGGUAAUCCUUAGCCAUAGUUGAUUCGGUCCUGCGAGGGACUCGAAGGUGGCCACACAACCGCAUCAGCUUUCGUUUUUAGCUUUUGAUUUAUAAGUAACUGAAUUAGGGUAUUUUAUGUAAAAAAGCCUCUUUAAAGUUAUAAACUUUAAAUUGGGGUUUUUAUUUAUUUAGUUUGAUAUAAACUGAUAGUUGUAGAAUAAGACGGGUUUUCAAAGGGUAACCAUUUUCAAAGACACCACAUUUUCGCAAUAAAUGAGGUUUUGGAAAAUUUAUAAUGUUUUAAAAGUGAUUAGUUUUUAAUGAUGCACGCUCGGAAAUGAACAACCCGUUUUGGAAUCACCAUUUAAUAACAAAAUGAUUAAUUGAUUUUAAAGAUUUCAACAACAACAAGUUUUACGCUAAACACCUCAAUGUAACACCGCCAGAUUCAGCCAUAACUCCUAGGCGGUGUUUGGGGUGUUACAAGCAUAACCUCCUUAGCAUCAGUCAACUUUGUCACAAGGGAUUCAAAGUAAUAUUUGAGUCUAACGGGUGCAAAGUUGUAGAUAUUGUAAAUAAGAGGAUUCUUUUUGUAGGACAUAGAGUAGGUAAUAUUUUUAUGGUGCAUCUUGAUAACAUAUCUUCCUUGAAUAUUUGCUUUAUGGCUAAUAAUGAAAAUGUAUGUUGGCUAUGGCAUAGAAGAUUAGGACAUACAAGCAUGAGUGUUAUUUCAAAGCUUAUUAAAAAUGAACUUGUUGGCAUGCCUAACUUUCCUAUUGACUUUGAUAAAGUAUGUGUUAUGCAUGUGCUAAAGGUAAACAUAGGAUAGUAUAUUUUAAAUCUAAAAAUAUAGUUUCUACAUCUAGUAGUCCAACUUAUUCAUAUUGACCUUUUUGGACCCACUAGAACUAUAAGUUUAGGAGGUAAACAAUAUGGAUUUGUUAUUGUUGAUGAUUAUUCUAGAUAAAUGGGUUUCCUUCUUGUUUUCAAAAGAUGAAACUUUAGAAAAAUUUAUUACUUUUUGUAAAAUGAUUCAAAACCAAGUGGGAUAUUCAAUUUCAAGUGUAAGAAGUGAUCAUGGAAAAGAAUUGGAACCUUGGCUUUGAUAAUUUUUGUAAUGAACAUGGUAUUAGUCACAAUUUUUCGGCACCUAGAACCCCUCAAUAAAAUGGAGUUGCUGAGAGGGAAAAUAGGACCUAAAAGGAAAUGACUAGAACCAUGUUAUGUGAAAAUAAUUUGCCAAGAUAUUUUUAGGCGGAAGCCAUAAACACUUCUUGCUAUAUUAUAAAUAGAGCUAUGGUUAGUUUAAAGAAAACUCUUUAUGAACUUUUUAAAGGAAGAAAGCCUAACAUAAGCCACUUUCAUUCUUUUGGUUGCAAAUGUUUUGUUUUGAAUAAUGGAAAAGAAAAUUUAGGAAAAUUCAAUGCCAAAAGUGAUGAAGGUAUUUUUCUUGGAUAUUUCACAAAUUUUAAAUCUUAUAGAAUUUUUAACAGGAGAACCCUUGCUGUAAAAUAAUCUAUCUCUCCUUCUAGAAAGGACUCUAUUGAUUUUGAUGAUGUAUAAAUAUAUCAAGUUGAGCAAAAUCAAGCAUCACAUGAAGAUUAAGGAAUAAGUGAGUUGGUUCAAGAACUUAAAAUUAAUGAACUCCAAGAACCAACUCACGUUGAAAGAGAAUCUAGCCACCCAAGAGAGCUUUCUUAUGUUAAGGAUGGACACAUCAUUGGUGAUCCAUCUAAAGGGGUAAUUACUAGAUGUUCAAUUAGAAAUACUUGAAAUUAUUUUGCCUUCAUUUCGUUCAUAGAACCUAAAAACAUUGAUGUUGCUUUAAAUGAUGAAUUUUUUAUAAUGGCUAUGCAAGAAGAAUUAGAUUAAUUUAAAAGAAAUCAAGUAUGAAAUUUAGUUGAUAGACCUAGUAAUCACCCAACUAUAGGAACUAAAUGGGUCUUUAGAAAUAAAAUUGAUGAAAAUGGUAACAUUGUUAAUACAAAGCUAGAUCUGUUUCCAAAGGAUAUCGCCAAGAGGAAGGUAUAGACUAUGAUAAAACUUAUGCACUGGUAUCUAGGUUAGAAGCCAUUAGGAUGUUAUUAGAUUUUUCAUGUUCAAACAAUUUCAAACUUUUUCAAAUGGAUGUCAAAAGUGCAUUUUUAAAUGGUUUCAAAAAAGAAGUUUAUGUUGAACAAACUCCCGAUUUUGAAAAUCCAAAUUUUCCAAAUCAUGUUUUCAAAUUGUCCAAAGCUCUAUAUGGUUUGAAGUAAGCUCCUAAGCUUGGUAUGAAAGGCUUUCCAGAUUAUUAAUUGAAAAUAGCUUUAGAAGAGGCAAAGUAGACACCACCUUGUUCAUAAAAACUAAAGAUAAAGAAAUUUUAGUAGUACAAUUUUAUGUUGAUGAUAUUAUAUUUGGUGCUACUAAUGAACUUCUUUGUUAAGACUUUUCUAAUAUUAUGCAAGGUGAAUUUGAGAUGAGCAUGAUGGGUGAGCUCAACUUCUUUUUAGGGCUCCAAAUCAAGCAAACUAAAAAUGACAUCUUCAUCAAUCAAGCCAAAUACAUCAAGGAAAUGCUCAAGAAUUUUAAAAUGGAGGACUUGAAGCCUCAAUCAACACCUAUGAGCAUUUCAACAAAGCUUGAAAAACAUGCAAGAAGUAAAUGUGUCGACACUAAACUUUAUAGGUCUAUGAUAGGGUUAUUGCAUUAUCUUACCGCAAGUAGAUCAAAUAUAAUGUUUAGGGUUUGUUUAUGCUCUAGAUUUCAAACAUCUCCUAAGGAGUCACAUUUUCAAGCCAUUAAAAGAGUACCUUAAGGAUACUCCAAACCUAGGAAUUUGGUAUCAAAAGAUUCAUCAUUUUGGUUGCAUGCUUACUCCAAUGCGGAUGUUGGAGGAUGCAAGUUAGAUACAAAAAGAACUUCAAAAACAUGUCAAUUAUUAGGAGACAUGCUUGUUUCUUGCUUCUCUAAAAAAAAUAGUAUAGCUUUGUCCAUAACUGAAGUAGAAUAUGUUUCCGUAAGUAGCUAUUGUGCUCAAACUUUGGAUGAAGCAUCGAUUAGUUGACUAUGUAAUUGAUAUGGAUCACAUUCCUAUAAGGUGUGAUAACACUAGUGCUAUUUUAUUAACCAAAAAUCCCAUCCAACACUCUAGAACAAACCACAUAGAGAUAAGACACCAUUUCAUUAGAGAUCAUGUGCAAAGAUGAGACAUAGUUCUAGAGUUUGUAAAUACUUUGCAUCAACUAGUUGAUAUUUUUAAAAAGCCUUUAGAUAAGGAGAGUUAUUGGAUAAUUAGGGGAAAGUUAGGACUAAUGAACAUGCCUUCAUAAGCUUCAUUUAUAAUCUUUUUGACAUUCUUGGACACUUGUGUUGUUUUAUGCAUGCUUUAUGUACAUUAUUUGAUUAUACUUGUAAACUUGUAAAUUCAUUGUUUCUCUUUAUUCUCGCAUGUUUGAAAUGUUGUUAAUAUCUGAUAUAAUUAAGUUAGAUAGUAUUUUAAAUCAUAGAUUAAAAUUUGAAUAUGUUAGUAAAUGUAUUUUCCGCCUUUUGAUUGCUUUCAAGCAUGUUUUUACUUGAUUUUCUUGUAGAUAUUUGUUUGAACAUGGUAUUAUAUUAUUUUACAUAUGUUAUCUAUUUGGUUUUGUACCUUUUCCCAUGUAUUUUUUUCAUUUUCUGAUUAGUUGUUUCGACAGUACAUAGGGAUGUAUCGGUAGAAUUAUUCCUAAAUGGUAUUCUUAGGUUUAUGUUCACGAGAUAUCGGUAGAAGAAAACUUCUACCGGAACUUGUCGACUUCUAUCGGUAGAAGUGGACAAGUAUCAGUAGAUGCGGGCAUAUAUAUACCCCAGCAACAUUUUUUUAUAGUGUUGUCUUCUUCCUAAAGCCCCACCCCCCAUAUUCCAUUGUUUUUCCUUAUUUUCUUUUUUACUUAAUUUUGUCUCCCACGUGCCUUCCACUUUAUUUUCAACAAGAUUUCCACCAAAACUCUCCACAUUUCCCACGUUUUUAAGGCAAAGCCUAAAAUCUCUUUUUUUAUAUUUAUUUCAAAAUCAUACUAGCUUAGAAGACAAUUUUUUAUAAAUAUGCUGUUUCAAACUGAACAUAUAUAACUUUUAUAUAUAUACAUAUUUUUGUUACUGUACAUAUAUAUAAAUUGUUUUUAGAUAUAUAUGUAUCAAUUUUUUUUUUACUUUCGGUUUGCCCUUUUCUUUUUCAUAAUUCAUCACAUGCAUCAUUUUUUUUUUCAAAAUUGCAUCUGCUGCUAUUGGGGAUAUAAAUUGUUUGUCUUACCAUUUUUUUCAAAUCUCCCUUCCCAUUGAACUAAACCUUUUAGAAAAUAUGUAAAACCCCAAACCCAGCCUAGACGUUAUGGUCGAAUCUGGCAGUGUUACGAUAAAGGAUUUUAAAACACAUCUUUUAUGUUAAAACGAAUCGCGCUACAUGAUACCAAACAGAGUCCAUAUUUUCGGAAAAACUUGUUUAUAUUAUCUUAUUGAAAUCGUUAUAAUUUGUCCUUUAUAGUUACAAAAAAAUUUCGCAACGAAAGUUUGAAAAUCGCUUAAAUUGAAACCACACUCGUGUUUUAAAAGCACUUGUUCGCGUAAAAUCAAAAUUUUUGUCAAUCACAUGGUUUAAAAAUCAUAAACGCAACCAAACCAAAAAUCCAAAAUGAACAGUCCCAAAAAUUCCGGAGAGUCCAAAUAUUACAAAACUCUCUCGAAACCCAGAAAUUAAGUAAAACUAGUAAAUAAAGAUGAGAAAAACAAUAGUUUUCCGAUGAGUGGUCACCGUUGAGCCUCAGUCACACCGACCCGCCUAUGUCUAAGGAUUACCUGUACAAAAUAGACAAAAAAAUGUGAGUUUUUGUAAACUCAAUGUGUAACCCAAUAGAGAUAGAAAUACAAAUGUACACAAUAUUAUCAUAUGCAAAAUAGAUACAACUACGGACCUAAGUCCUUAGCAGAUACAGAUAUUAGACUCAGAUAUUCAAGACAAAUAUACAAAAUCCUACCCCCUCCUCUACCCAUCAUCCCAUCACACCAUCUGGGGUUAAAAGCACCCACCCAUCCCAACACAACAUAUAGUGUCGAUGCGACACAUAACAGAAUCAUAUGCAAUCAAGCAGCCAGAUAAUAGGCGAAGGGUCGUCGUACAAAUCACUUUGCCCCACAUAUACAAAUCCCACCCCAAACACAGAUACAGAAUACAAAUACAGAAAUAAUAGAAUUCACAUGUUUAACAUGCUUGUAUACAGAUAACAUACAUACUUAUACAGAAUAGUCAGACAUACAUAUCGAUUUCCUAUUUAGAUCAGACUAUCAUAAUAUCAUAUCACAUGUAAUGAAGUUUGGUUAGCCCUUACCGACCUUAAGAUAGGCCCAUAGUCGAUCAAAACGACUUGAGCGACCCUAGGGAAAAUUUCAAAAUUUUGGGCCCACAUGCCCAGAUUGGCCUUGCCCGUGUGGUGUCAACAAUCCUCUUUUUGGCUUUCGUCGAACCUCGAUUUCUCGUGUUAUCGUUACAAACCUAGUUUGGUCUUGAUGCUACUACAAUCUCGAGACCUCCAAACCCUAAGAAACAACAUUCCAACAAUAAAUUUAACAACCAAUUCACAAAUUCUCCAAACUAAACCGAACAAUACGCACACACUUACCACUAACUAGUACGACUGCACGUAUAACCAGGUCGUUGAAGCUAAAUUUGCUACUUCACCACCUUCACCUACUCAACAUAUUUACAGGAAAUUAAUUUCCCUAACCACACCACUAUGCCAAUCUAAAAGAAAAGGAAAACAAGCAAGAUGAAACGUGAAAGCUUACCAAAAUAGACGGGUAACCACCGGAAUAAAAAAUUGAACGAUUGAAACAAUCAGUUGUCGAACGAACUAGAGAGAAGAACUGAAAAUAGGAAAAAUCACAGAGAAGAAGGGGAAAAGGGAAGAACUAACGCCAGAAAGAAGAAAAAUUGAGUAAAGGGGAAAAACGAAAAAUAAAUAAAAUAAAAUUUAAACCCCACAAUAUCUCAACCCUUAUUAUCCCACUAACUAACCCACUAACUCACAACUACUUCAAAAUUUUACUUCCACAUCCUUUAUCUCAUAAUCGAAGCAAAAAUAUCACCCACACUCACGCAGGGAUUGAACAUAAGACCUCCAGCAAGUUAACUCCUUACCACUCGAACUAGCAAGCUCAUUCUAAUAUGAGCUUACAAACAAUCUUACAUAAGCCCACCCAACAAGGAUAAGGCUAGGAUCAAAAAUAAAAAAAAAAUCCAAAUGUGGGACUUGAACACCAUACCUCAUACACACACCCAGAAUACUUAACCACUAAAGCAAAUACAUAUUUGUUUUAAAUUCACAGAAACAAAGUUAAGAAAUUUAGGGCAUUACAACUUUACCACCCUAAAAGAAAUUUUAGCCUCAAAAUUUACCUGAUCUGAAUAGAUGAGGAUACUGUUGAAGCAUCGAGUCAUCAGGUUCCCACGUUGCUUCCUCAGUGUCAUGAUUCUGCCACAAAACCUUACCAACAGUAUGGACUUCCUCCUCAAAACCUUAAUAUCUCGAUCCAAAAUUUGAACAAACUCUUCCUCAAAAGUCAAGUUCGAUCUAACCUCGAUCUUCUAAACAGAGACAACGUGAUAUGGAUCAGAUUGAUACCGCCUCAACAUAGAGACGUGAAACACAUUAUAGAUACGGUUUAACUUUAGAGGUAGCUCUAACUGAUAAGAAAUCGGUCCCACACGCUUCAGAAUCCGAAACGGCCCAAUAAACCUAAGGCUUAACUUGCCUUUACGACUGAACCAAAGAAUUGUCUUCUACAGAGAUACCUUAAGGAAUACGAAAUCACCCACAAAGUACUCGAUAUCCCUCCUUUUCAGAUCCGCAUAAGACUUCUGUCUAUUAGAAGCUGCCUUCAGACAAUCUUGAAUCAGUCUAACCUUAUCUUAAGUCUCAGAAACCAACUCCAGACCCAAAACCCGUCGUUCACCCAUCUCAUUCCAACAUAGCGGAGUAUGACACUUACGACCAUAGAGAGCCUCGUAAGGUGCCAUCUGGAUACUAGACUGGAAACUAUUAUCGUAGGCGAACUCAGCUAAUGGCAGAAAAUCCUCCCAACUACCUCGUAAGACAAUCACACAGCACCGAAGCAUAUCUUCCAGUAUCUGAAUCACCUUCUCAGAUUGACCAUAGUUCUAAGGAUGGAACGCAGUACUGAAGUCCAAUCUUGAACCCAAAGCUUCAUAGAGUUUCUUCAAAAACCAAAAAGUGAAGCUAGGAUCCCUAUUAGAGAUUAUCGAAACUGGUACCCCAUGCAAUCUUACAAUCUCGGAGAUGUAGAGCUUCGCUAACUUUUGCAGAGAAUAGUCAGUCUUGACCAGAAUAAAAUAGGUGAACUUGGUUAAUCGAUCCACGAUGACUCACGCAGAAUCCUUCUUAGUGAGUGUUAAAAGAAACCCACUAACGAAGUCCAUUGUCACACAUUCCCAUUUCCACAAGAAAAUCUUAAUUGGUUGGAGUAAACCCGAAGGCAACUAGUGCUCAGCCUUAACCUGCUAGCAUGUCAGACAACAAGUAACAAAAUUUGUUACCUCUCAUUUCAAACUCGGCCACCAUUAUAGUUCACGGAGAUCCCGAUACAUCUUCCUACCAACGGGAUGCAUAGUAUUAGAACUACUAAAUGCCUCACUGAGAAUUGACUGCCUCAGAUCAGAAUCGUUCAGUACACAAACCCGUCCUCAGAAGCACAGAACUCCAUCCUUAUUAGGUCCAAAAUUAGAAGUACUACCACUAUCAACCUGACGAAACCACAGACCGAGAGACUCAUCCCCUAACAGCUUUUCUCGAAUCUGCCCAAUCCAAGUCGACUUAACUUGCAACUCGGUUAACAAACCCCGAUCAUCGAACAAACUAAGACGAACGAACAUCGCUCUUAAAUCAGUCAUCACUCUACGACUAAGAGCAUCGGCCACCAUAUUGGCCUUAACGGGAUGAUACUCUAUCGUGCCGUCAUAAUCAUUGAACAGCUCAACCCAUCGACGCUACCUAAGAUUCAACUUCUUUUGAGUAAGGAGGUACUUGAGGCUCUUGUGAUCGGUGUAGAUGAUACACCUCUCACCAUACAGGUAGUCCCUCUAGAUCUUUAACGCAAACACUAUGGCAGCUAAUUCAAGAUCAUGUGUCGGAUAAUUCCCCUCGUGUGACUUAAGCUGUCGGGACGAAUAAGCCACAACCUUACUAUCUUGCAUCAAUAUACAUCCCAAACCAACGUGCGACGCAUCACUAUACACCACAAACUCCUUAUCAGAUUCAGGUUGUAUCAGAACAGGAGCCUGAGUCAGAACAGACUUGAUCUUCUCAAAGCUCGAUUGUUGCGCAUCAGUCCAAACGAAAGCUUAGUCAGGAGAGCUACAAUCAACGAGAACCCCUCAACAAACCAUUGCUAAUAACCCGCAAGACCCAGGAAACUGUAGAUCUCAAAGACAUUCUUAGGCUGUUUCCAAUCAAGCACAGCCUCAAUCUUCUUAGGAUCCACUUGGAUCCCCUCAAGCAAAACCACGUACCCCGAAAACUUCACUUCUCUUAACUAAAAUUCACACCUGCUCAACUUAGAAUAGAGUUGUUUCUCUCGAAGCAUCUGAAAAAUUACUCCAAUAUGCUCAUCAUGCUCAUCCUCAGUCUUAGAGUACACCAGAAUAUCGUCGAUGAAGGCUACGACGUACUAAUCCAGAUACGGCUAAAAAACUCGGUUUAUCAGAUCCAUGAAUGCAGCCGGAGCAUUCGUCAAACCAAAGGGCAUAACUAGGAACUCGUAGUGCCCAUAACGAGUCUUAAAAAUUGUCUUAUGAAUAUCAGCUUCCUUAACCCUAAGCUGAUGAUAUCAAGAACAGAGAUCUAUUUUUAAAAAUACCGCAGCCCCACGAAACUGAUCAAACAGGUCAUCGAUCCUUGGAAGUGGGUACCUAUUCUUCACAGUCAACUUAUUCAGUUUCCAAUAGUCGAUGCACAUCCUCAUGGUACCAUCCUUUUUCUUUAUAAACAAAACCAGUGCCCCCCAUAGAGACACACUAGGAUAGAUGAAACUACGAUCCAGAAGCUCCUGAAGUUGAGCCUUAAGCUCUGUAAGCUCUUUCGGUGCCAUACGGUACAGAGCGAUAGACCCCGAAGUUGUACUCGGUAGAAGCUCAAUACCAAACUCAACUUUCUAAUUCAAAGGUAAACCUAAUAGCUCAUCAGAAAAUACAUUCAAAAAUUCUCUCACUGUUCUGAUAUCCCCGACAGAAGAGUCCCCAAAAAUUAAAACCCUGACGUAGGCCAAAUACGCCUCACACAAUUUUUGAACCAAUUUUUCGGCCACUAGAGCGGAGAUCACAUCAAAUAGAUUAUCUCGCCGCUCGCCAAUCACAACAACUUCCUUAUCAUCCUCAGUUUUCAAAACUACCCUCUUAGUCGUACAAUCCAAACUAACUCGGUGCUCUACUAACCAGUCCAUACCCAAAAUCUAAUCAAAUUCCCUAAACGGUAGCUCUAUCAGAUUUGUCGGCAACACAACUCCUUGUACUUCCAGUGGUACAUUUCUAUAAAGUCUAUAUAACCGAACAGAUUGUCCAAACGGGCUCAGCACCAAGAUCUCACCAGAAGGACAUUCAAUAGUAGUCUCUAAGUUUUCAGAAAUCGAACUAGUUACGCAGGAGUUUUUGGAUCCUAUGUCUAUUAAAGAAGUGUAUGGAGCAUCAAAAAUAAAGAACGUACCUGAUAUCACAUUACGAACAUCUCUGUCCUAGCAGCGUCAAGUAGCAUAAACCAGUACAAGUUGCCUCACCUCAGUCUAUUAGCACCUCUAACUGGUGCUCUCUAUCAUUGGCCCAUACCAUUACUACCCCUAGCUGAUCCAUGGCACCUAGAUGGUUGUUGUACUGCCCUCUAAAGCUGAACAAAACUCGUUCUCGUAGCUUGCAUCUGAUUAGUAUGAUGUGGAACAUCUCUAAUCCGAUGCUCUAAUGACACACAUUGCAGAUAAGCACCCAAUCUCCCGCAACACUUGCCCGGAUGGCCCCUACCACAAUUACUUUAUGGCUGAACUCCAGUAGGAGCAACUGGAACUCCCACUCUAGAAGGUCCAUCAGGUUUGGCCCGUUUCUUAGGCAUAUGAACAGAAUUAAAGAGCUCUGAAUCCCUCUUCUUCUUACCUCUCUCAUGAUCUCGGUUCUGGCACUCAAUGCGUUUAACCUCCUCAGUGAUCUUCGCCUUAUCCACUAGAACAGAAAACUCUCGCACCUUCUGUGGAGCUAUCAGAACCCUCAAAUUGUCCCUUAAGCCAUAUUCAAAGUGGACACACUUCUCAUACUCGAAUGCCACCAUGCCUGGAGCGUAGCGGCUCAGUUUUAGAAAUUCAGCCUCACACCCGGCUACAGUCUUAUCACCUCGUGUGAGAUUCAUUAACUCACGCCUACGAGCAUCAACAUAGCUCGCAUCCACAUACUUUCCCUGAAAGGUAGUCUUGAAGUAGUCCCAAUUCAAAUGAUCUGGUUGAGUACUCUCCUUAACCGAUAACCACCACUAAUAAGCAUCAUCGCGAAGCAGAGAAACUCCAAUUUUUAGUUUCUACUCAGGAGUGCUAUCGGUGUUCAUUAUCCUCUCAGUAGCCUCCAACUAGUACUCGACCGCAGUAAAGGUAACUCGAAUGACGCUCCUAAACAACUCAGCCCCAUUGGACUAGAUUCGUUCAGUUACUGACCCACGGCUCUCAGAUCCAGAAUAGGGUCCAGCGACCCUCUCUAAAACUCUCAACAUGGCUUGGGACAGUGCGUCGUCCCCAGCUGAGUGGCUUUGAGACCCAGUCUCAGUAGCAGGUGAAACUAGUGUCUCACUCGUAUCCAGAUUUGGCAUACUGCCCAGAAAGGAAGACUCAUCCCGAGUCUUCCUAUGGCACCCGCCGCGCCUACGAGUACUUCGACCAUGUGUACCACAUGCGCUCAUCAUAGUUUCAGUUUUAGCUACAUUAUAAAAUUUUAUGCAUCAGUUUCAGUGUUUAUUAGCAGAUGUUUUAUGCUUCAAAUAUCAGAAUUUCAGAAAUAUUUCAGAAAUUUUAGUCUCUAACUAACUCAGUACAGUUUUAGAGAAUUCUAUCUACAGUAUUUUCUAAUUCCAGAAAUACUUACAGGAUCGGGGCGGGAGACUCGGUGUACCACAUACUUGCUCAAAAAGAUCCAAAUUAUUUGAAAAUCAGUCCUUUUCAAAAUAUAAUUUCGGAACCCAAAAUUCACAGUUCGAGUUUUGCAACCUUGUAACACCCCUUACCCGAGACCGUAGCCGGAGUCAAGCUCGAGGCAUUACUUAACUUAUUAGUUCGGGGCAUAAAAAUUUGCUUUUAAAAUUUAUCUCACUAUUUAUGAUAAAGAUGUCCACUCGAAAUUUAAAUCCAUAAAUUUUCCCUGAAACUAGACUCAUAUAUCUUCUUACCAUAAAUUUUUCAGAAUUUUUGGUUCAGCCAAUUAGUACAGUUUAUCAGUUAAAGUCUCCCCUGUUUCACCACUCAACUGUCCUAACCUCUGGCCACUCAAAACAAGUUUUCUCAUUGUAUGAUUUUCAUAUGAUAUUAUCACUUGUUCAUACAGAAAAUAGACUCGAUAAGGAAACUAUACAUAUAAAUUAAAACUCAUAACUAUUUUUGUAAAAUUUUUAGUGAUUUUCUAAACUCAAAACAGGGGACUCCAAAAAUAGUUCUGACUCUAUCUCAUCAAAAUUCACAUAUCUCAAAAUAUAAAAUUUCUUUUACUAAACCGUUAUUUUUCCAUGAAAAUAGACUUAACAAGCUUUCAUUAUAUAUAUCAUACACCCUCUAAUUCAUUUUAUACUAUCCUAAGUGAUUUUUCAAAAUCACGUCACUGCUUCUGUUUGAAAUCUGUUUCUUUGCAAAUUAUUACUCUUUCAUGAUUUCUAUGCAUAAUUUAUCACAUAGACAUGUAUAAAAACAAACACCUUCAUACUUAGCCAUUUUGACAACCAUUCAUCAUUAGAUAUUUACACAUCAUUCUUUAGCAAAAUCAUAAUACAACAUUCAAAAUAAGUAAGUCCCUAUACAUGCCAUAGUUCAAACAUAGUUCAUCAUAAAAUAUCGAGUCAUUGUGGUUGAUAGUGUGGACGAUCUCCGACAUCUUUAGGAUCCUCGACUUUGAUUAAUAAUGCUAUAUAAAAAGAAAAUAAACAAAGUAAGCAUAAUGCUUAGUAAGUUUACAAGUAAAUAAAUAGCAACAUUAAACACAAAUUAUAAUAACCAAGUAACAUAAUCUUUAAUUUCCUCUUUACUUGAUCUCUUACUCAUUCACUUGCUUGUUUACUUAAAUAACUCAUAAUUAUGACUUACUUUUCUCUUGUUGAAAUGUUGAUUCUCAAUGGGUAACGUAAUAUACUCUUAACUCUUAUAACUCACUUGAACUUGCCAUUUACGCUUUUAACUGAACUUUCAUGGACAUAAGUUAUUUACUAGCCCGUUGAACCACAUUGGAAUAAUAACGAUACUUGGGUCUCUUUCUGAUAAUAACAUGCCAAAGCCAUGUCCCAUACAUGGUCUUACAUGGGAUGUUUCAUGUAUUGCCAAUGCCAUAUCCCAGAUAUGGUCUUACAUGGGACCUCUCAUCUCGGUGCCAACGCCAUGUCCCAGACAUGGUCUUACAUAGGACCUCUCAUCUCAGUGCCAACGCCAUGUCCCAAACAUGGUCUUACAUGGGACCUCAUCCUCUUAAUGUCAUGACAUUUGUAUCCGCUACAUUCCAAAAUUUUCAACGGGACUUUUUAAUACUAAUUCUCUAUCGUCUCAUACUUGAGUCAACAUCAAAUAAAUUCAUGAAAUAAAUAUAUAAUUGCUGGAAAAUAACAGAAUUAAUAAUAAUUAUUUAAAUAUUUCAUUUAUUUACCGUAAACUUACCUCGGUAGCAAAUAUAGCCAAACUUAUCAAUUUAGUCUUCAACUUUAUUCUUUCCUCAAUCUAACCUCGAAUUUCGUUCUUCUUGAUCUAUACAGAAAAAUUAACUUAUUUAAUAAUCACAUUCAUUAAAACAGCCCUCGACUCUAACUUUGGAAAAAUUACAAUUUUGCUCCUAAACUUUUACAUAAUUACGUUUUUACCCCAAAGUUUAGAAAUUAAACUUCAUCUCAUAUUCUUAUGUUAUAUAACAUGCUAAAAAUUUUUCUCUUCUAUGACAACAUCAAAUUCUCACUCUAACACUUACUUAUGCACAUUAAGGAUUUUUUCUGAUUAUGUCAACUUACUCGUUUUCGCUUAAAAUUGGCUAGCAAAAAGUUGUUUAACAUAAUUUCUAGCUUCAUACUCUAUCAUAAAACAUCAAAAUAAACACUUUUCACCUAUCGGUAUUUUUUCAAAUAUAAACUCUAGGUUAAAUUAUUGCUAGAAUAAGCUAAAUUAAGCUACUGGGAUCUCAAAAACGUAAAAAGCAUAAAAAAACGGGGCUUAGAAUCACUUACUAUGAGCUUGACAAAGUGUGAAAACCCUAGCUAUGGUGUCUUUCCAAAUUUGGCAGCAAUCUAUGGAGAAGAUGAUAUUUUUGCCAUCUUUUUCCUUUUUUAUUCUUUUUAUUAUUCAUUUACUAAAAUACCCUUCAUUAAAACUUUAGUUAUUUUUAUCUAUACAUGCCUAUUUUUGUCCAUGGAAAUUUUAUGGUCUAAUUACUAUUUAAGGCCCUCUACUUUGAUUAUGCACUUCAAAUAAAUCCUUUAUCAUCUAAAACUCCUAUUUACCUACUUUUGCACUUAAGUCCUAAUAGGCAAUUUAGGCAUGCAAUCAAUAAAAUUUCUUAUCAAUACUCUAAUACUUAUAUCUAAUCACUCGAUAAAUCAUAAAAAUUAAUAAUAAUUUUCUCUUUAAAUCGAAUUUGUGGUUACGAAACCACUAUUUCGAUGACCUUGAAUUUGGGUCAUUACCAACUUGGCUCUGAUACCACUAAAUGUAACACCCCAAAUCUAGCCUAGACGUUAUGGUCGAAUCUAGGAGUGUUACAAUGAAGGAUUUUAAAACACAUCUUUUAUGUUAAAACGAAUCGCGUUAUUUAAAACCAAACAAAGUUAAUAUUUUUGAAAAAACUUGUUUUUAUUAUCUUACUAAAAUCGUUAUAAGUUUUCCGUUAUAGUUACAAAAAAAAUUUGAAGCGAAAGUUUGAAAAUUGUUCAAAUUGAAACAACGCUCGUAUUUUAAAAGUAUUUGUUAUCGUAAAACUGGAAUUUUUGUCAAUCACAUGGUUUAAAAAUCAUAAACUCAACCAAACCAAAUAUCAAAAAUGAACAGUCCCAAAAAGUCCGGGGAGUCCAAAUAUUACAAAACUCUCACGAAACCUGAAAAUUAAGUAAAAUUGGUAAAUAAAGAUAAGAAAAACAACAGUUUUUCAAUGAGUGGUCACCGCUAAGCCUCCGUCGCACCGACCCGACUAUGUCUGAGGAUUACAUGUACAGAAUAGACUAAUAGAUGUGAGUUUUCGUAAACUUAGUGUGUAACCCAACAAAGAUAGACAUACAAAUGUACACAGUAUUAUCAUAUGCAGAACAGAUACAAAUACAGACCUAAGUCCUUACCAGAUACAGAUAUCAGACUCAGAUAUUCAAGACAGAUAUACAAAAUCCUACCCCCAUCAUCUACACACCAUCUCCGACCAUCCCAUCACACCAUGUGAGGUUAAAAGCACCCACUCAUCCCUACACACCAUAUAGUGUCGAUGUGACACAUAACAAAAUAAUAUGCAGUCAAGCUGCCAGAUAAUAGGCGAAAGGUCACCGUACAAAUCACUUCCUCCACAUAUACAAAUCCCACCCCAAACACAGAUACAGAAUACAAAUAUAGAAUUAACAGAAUUAACAUGUUUAACAUGCUCGUAUACAGAUAACAUACAUACUUAUACAGAACAGUCAGACAUAUAUCGAUUUCCUACUUAGAUCAGAUUAUCAGAAUAUCAGAUCACAUAUAAUAAGGUUGGGUUAGCCCUUACCGACCCUACGAUAGGCCCAUAGUUGAUUGGAACGACUCCUGCGACCUUAGGGAAAAUUUCAGAAUUUGGGGCCCACAUGCCCGUGUGGUGUCGAAAGUCCCCUUUUCGGCUUUCACUGAACCUCAAUUUCUUGUGUUAUUGUUACACACCUGGUUUGGUUUCGAUGCUACUGUAAUCUCGAGACCUCUAAACCCUAAGAAACAACAUUCCAACAAUAAAUUUAACAACCAAUUCACAAAUUGCCUAAACUAAAUCGAACAAUGCGAAAACACUUAUCGCCAACUAAUAUGACUCCACGCACAUUCAGGCCGUUGGAGCAAAAUUCGCUGCUUCACCACAUUCACCUACGCAACAGAUUUGCAAGAAAUUAACUUCCCUAACCACACCACUAUGCCAAUAUAAAAAAAGAGGAAAACGACAAAGAUGAAACGUCAAAGCUUACCAAAAUAGACGAGGAACCAUUGGAAUAACAAAUCGAACAAUUAGAACAAUCAGUUGUUAAACGGAGUAGAGAGAAUAACCAAAAAUAGGAAAAAUCACAAAGAAGAAGGGGAAAAUGGAAAAACUAACGUCAAAAAGAUGAAAAACUAAGUAAAGGGGAAAAAAGCUAAAAAUAAACAAAAUAGAAUUUAAACCCCACAAUAUCUCAACCCCCAUUAUCCCACUAACUAAACCACUAACUCACAACUAUUUCAAAAUUUUACUUCCACACAACCUCUAUCUCAUAACCGAAGCAAAAUAUCACCCACACUCACGCAGGGAUUUGAACACAAGACCUCCAGCAAGUUAACUCCUAAUCACUCGAACCAGCAGGCUCAUUCUGAUAUGAGUUUACAAAUAGUCUUAUAUAAACCUACCCAACAAGGAUAACGCUAGGAUAAAAAAUAACAAAAAUUUUCAAAUGUGGGACUUGAACUCCAGACCUCAUACACACACCCAGAAUACUUAACCACUAAAGCAAAAACAUAUUUGUUUCAGAAUUCUCAGAAACAAAGUUAAGAAAUUUAGGGCGUUACAAAAUAUCAUUCAUUUCAAAUACCUUGACCAACUCUGCGAUUGGGGUUGGCUUAAAAGCCUCCAAAUUAAGGGUUCUUGCUAUGACAACAUUGUUCGGGCGUUUUAAUCUAACACCAAACUUAACCAUGACCUGAACACCCACCUAAUUCAAUCAAUUACUUCUUCCAUCAUAGGCCAAGAUAUUACUAUCUCAAUCAAAUCCCUCUCUACUUUUCCUUCUAUCACCAAUAAGAGUGAUGAACAUCAUACCAGCCCAUACGAUACUUCCUAAACUAGGCCCAAUGAUUAUGUAGGCAACGACAUGGACCUUCAUAAUCGUAUCCUCUAUCUUAUAUUCACUUGGUUCGUUGCGUCAACCAAUAAACAUUUCGGCUUUCGCCACACCGAUUAUUGGAUGUGGCAUUGCUUUAGAACCAACCAUCCCCUCAACUUAGCCUCCAUUAUUUUUCUAAACCUUAUCGAGAUUUUUAGGCUAUUACUAUCUAGCAAUAAAACCUUAUGUUACAGUAUGUUCCUCUCUCAUAUCCUUCGUACUCUUAGAAUAAACAUAAGUAUAGACCCCGGUCGUGCCAUAAACUCUUUUGUCGAUAUCUCGACAGCGACUAGUUGCAAUUGGAAGCUUGAUGGAAAGGGAAAUCGGGUCUGCAAGUUUGAUCAGUAAUCCUCGGUGGCUCAACCUUUGACGGUUCGACCAGUCGCUUCACAAACAUUCGAUGCUCCUAGGUCUCCGCUUGAGGCUUAUCCAGCUCUCCUCGCUCCGCCAUCCCCAUGCACAACACGUUUGUUCGAGGCGAUUAAUGGGCUGUUGUUGCAAUUCAGUGCAUGUUUUAAUGCAUUGACUACCCAUUUCAAAAAUUGCUACAAUCAUUUAGACGAGCGAAUCAAUAUUUCCCCCGCCAUCGGACGAUUAAGACUUCACUUCUUGGUUGAUUUUUAUAUGCUUUUUGGCUAGAUUAUAUCACUAUUUUGGGUUGUUUGGUUUCCUUUCUUUGGAUAUUUGGGAUAUUUAUAUUGGUUGCAUAUUUGGUCACUUUGGGAUGUUUUUUUUAUUUUCAUUGACUUUGGAUGCUUUAUUUCAAAUGCACUGCUAUUGUUUUUUUUUUUGUUAUUCUAUCUACUUUUUUACAUGCUUUAUUUUUCUUUUGUUUUAUUACUUUUAUUAUUCUUAUGUCUCCAUAUGUUUAAGUAGUGUGCACUUCUUCCUCUAGUUUUUCAAGCGUGCAUUCUUUUUGAUAUUACAAAAAAAAGGGAGAAAAAUGUAAAAUUUGCAUAAUAUAAUUUUCAACUAAAGCACAAAAGCAAAAUUCUCCUUAGUAUCAAAAAAAAUUCUUUCAACUUAAUCUUAAAUCCAAAUUCUUUAGUUGAAAUUUUAAAUGAAAUUACGUUUAAAAUAUUUUUUUUCAAAAAGGGAGCUUAUUUUGAAAAUAAUGUUUAAGAUAGGGGGAGUUAACAAAUUUUUUCAAAAUGUUCUUUUUAUAUCAAAAAGCGGGAGAUUUUAGCUCUAGUUUUUCAAGUAUUUUGAUAUAAUAAAAUGUAUAUUACAAAUAUCCUACUUAAAUUUGUAAAAAUUGUUUAUAAGUCCUUAAAAUUACUUUCAAAGUGUUGGAUAAGAUAAACAUUUAAAAAGCCUUAAAUUAACUUAAUUUUUAACGAGUUUUUGAAAUCUGAAGGACUUCUACCGAUACUUAGGUGGCCAAGUAUCGGUAGAACUCAAGAUGGAAAGACCUUGAAAAGGCUACAGAAUUCUACUGGUAGAACUGAGAGUUCUACCGAUACAACUCAGACUUCUAUCGGUAGAACACACUCUAGUGUACAAGGUAGUAGCCAAAGUUCAACCUCCCCUGCACUUCUACCGAUACUCUACUAGGUUCUACUGAUACCAGUUGAAACCCUCAGAGUUUUACCGGUACAAGAGGACCUCUACCGAUACAACGAAGCAGCAGACUGCAUUUAAUGCUAGUUUUUAUGGCUACAACUUUAUUUUGUUUCUAGCGGCUACAAACAUCCUCUAUGUUGUUAGAUGAUUUAAAUACAAGGUCAAGGCUCCUCAUUAAAGAUAUAGAAACAAGUGCAUAAAUUCCAAGAACUUAAUUUUAAAUCUUUCUCAAUCUUUUACUAAAUAUUUCUUGUACACACUUGUGGGUUAAGUUUUCUAUCAUUCUAUCAAGUGUUGUAACUUUGUGUGAGAGUGUUUAAUUGUUGAUUAUCUACCUUUUAGAGGCAUCAUCUUAUUCAUCAUUAUUUUCUCUUGUUUAUGAGGUGUUACUUAAGGUUUUGGGUAGAAAUCCUUAAGAGGAAGUGGUUUUAUCUUACCUUUGGAAAUAUACGAAUUUGUAAGGUUAAACCUUGUCCUUAAAGGUUAAAAUCUAGAGGAUUUGAGAAAUCUUUAGUUGAGGAAAUAUAAGGUAGUGGAGGUAGGCAAUUGAGGCCAAACCACUAUAAAUACUUGAGUUGUUUUAUUUUCGUCAUUUCUCGAAAACGUUUUAAUACACCAAUUUACCCUCCUCUUGGUGUAUUUCGAUCUCAACAUAGACAUUCGACUGUGUCAAAAUGAACAACUCACGAUGUUGGGACAAUGAUGAUCUCAAGCCUGAGGAUCAUAUACAUAGUUAUCACUUUGAGUAAUGUUGUGACUAUUACAUAAUAAUCCAAGAAACAUACUCAUAACGAGUCAGUCCAAUAUGUUGUUAUCUCACACAUACUACAUAUUAGUCUCAAUGCAUUAUUGUUGUCCAAACCCAAGAUAAUAUUUGACUAAGGACGUUUUAAGAAUAAUCAUAUUUUCUUAAGACUUUAUUACAAUUUAAUUUAUUUAUAUACACAGAAAAAUAAAUUGAAAUAAUAAUGGCAAUGCAUUAUAUUAAUAAAUAAGGUAAAAUAAGUAUGUAACUACAAUCAUCUCAUGAUUGGUCUUUAGGCAUACUAUAAUAGUCAAAAAGCGUUGAUUUCUUUGGACAAUUCCUUACCAUAGGCGGACCAUCACAAAGGAAGCAUUUCACUGGCCCCUUUGGUUUGUUGUUGGGUUUUCACUUCCCAUUAGUCAGUUUCCUAUUGCUACCAUUGCCACUGUGGCCAUUUUUGUCUUGUUCUCUCCAGUACUCUCCCCUACAAUUGCCCAUCCUUUUGGGCUUGGAAGACUCAAACUUGUCUUUCUUCAGAACAAGCUCAACAAAAGACUCUACCUCGGCAGUAAGCUCAGUGAUACCUUUUCGAUGCAACUCCCAAUUCUCCCAAGGCUUCAACUCAUCUUCAAACCACUAGAAUGUUUAUUUCUAACACAAAUCAAAUAUUUGAAGCAUCAACUCACUGAAGUCUUUGACGUACUCCCGAACAGUGCCUCAUUGUGUAAGUCGGUGCAAAUUAGCUCGAGACUCUUUCUCAGCAUUUUGUGGGUAAAAUUGCUUUUUCACCUCUUUUUGGAACUCCUACCAAGUUUCAAUUACGGUCCCACCUCAUUUCUCAUCUGUGGACCUAUGACGCUACCAUAAGAGAGCAACAUCGGUAAAGUAAAUUGAAGCAAUGUCUACCUUAGUGGUAUCAUCCUCAAUGCCCAUCGCAUGGAAGUAUUCUUUCAUUUCCCACAAGAAGUUGCCCACUUCCCUCGCAAACCUUGCACCUUUAAAAUUUUCCAAUUAAGGAACAUUCAUUUUUUGUUGCUUCGAUCCCGAAGCCAACAUCCCAUUUGUAACACCCAUUACUCGGUCUAGUCGCCGAACUGAGUAACGAGAUAUUACUACUAUAAUCGGAACUAACAUAUUAAAAUAAUCAUGCAAUAAUUAUUCAAAUAUCAAUUGUAAUCAUAUAAUGUCAUUCAAAUAGAAUUCGAGACUAAACUGAGCUUACAGAAGCUCUAUUGAUGACCUAGGCAUGAUUUAGGACCAAACUGCAAAGUUUGGAAAAUUUGAAAUCCACGUCGUGACGUCGAUGGAAAGUGAGUCAUGUCACGACGUUAGACCACUUAAGGUUGGGACGUCACAAGUUGUUGGCCGACGUUGCGAAGAGGACUCUAUUUUUUGGUAAAACAAGACCAUUUGGUACCAAAUUCUUGCCAAGCCAAACCAUUUGCCAAAAUGAUUUAUAUUUGGCCAAUCAAACCUGUACAAAACCAACUUAAACACAUACCAACAUAUCCGUUUCACCAACCAAAAAACCAUUCAAGCUAUUCCACACGAAAUGAACUCUUUCCUAGCUUAGCAACCUAUGUAUUCAUUAAAUACUCAAACAUAGCUCACCAUUCACCUAUCACAUUCCAAAUUUUAACCAAAAUUCAAUCAAACAUACCAUUUAUGUUUCAUCAAUUGCUUAAAAAAUGCCAAAGUUCACAUCUUAUAACAUAACACAUUUACCAUUUAAAUUAAGUACGAUUAAAAUACCAAAACUAACACCAUUCAAGAUGACAUCCAAACAUAUUAAGGCAUAUAUAUAUACACACAAGUAUCACAUAUUCAAAUAUUCUCCCAUCAACUUGUUAAGCUCAUACUUCAUUCAUAGCUAGAGACAUUACUAACCAUUACAUCAAAGUACAAAACAUCAAACCAUCCAAAAAUUCGAAUGACAUUCACAAUUCAAUACUUCAGAUUUUAACAUUUCACAUAUAAGCAUAACUUAUCCUAUAUACAUGCCACAUAAUCAGGUCUAAAAUGAAAGAAAAACUACCCAAACGAAGACUAGAUAGUGUGAGCUCUGGAGAUGAACCAAUAGACACAUUCCAUAAAAUGUCAACUAUAGAAAAUAGAAAACAAAACAGAGUAAACUUUAAGUAAGCUUAGUAAGUUCAUAGGUUAAAUAUAUGGUAACUUACCUUGAAAUACAAGAAUACAAAAAAAUUACAAUCAAUUUAAAUGAUAAUUUCAAUCUUGGUAAUACAUUCCACAAGAAACAAGCAGUCCUUCAUAAUACCAUAUGAAAAAACAUUUCAAUUUGACAUUUCAUUCAAUUCAAUCAAUUCACUCGAAUCUCAUGCAUAUAAUCAAAUCAUUCACUUUUUUUACUUUAUCAGAUUAUCUUACUAAAUAAUAGUAAAAUGGUUUGAAUACUCGGGUAUCUACACCAUAUCAGAGAACAUCGUAAUGUUAUACAGAGGCACUGUAGUAUAAACAAAAGCACCAAAGUGCAAAUAAAGGCAUCGAAGUGCAAUCCUGUACAAGCGCGCAACUAACCCUAUUAGCAUGCCAAUCAUAUCUUAAUCGUUUACUAAGUUCAAACAGGCAUUUAUACUAAUUCAGAACAUUCACACUAUCAUAGCAUUUCUAUGAAUCAAAACAUAUGUCGUAACCAUAUUAUAUUCAUUCAUUACUUCAUACAAGUUAUAAGCAUCACAUACGCAAAACUUUAUAAUUUAGUCCAAGCUCACCUUUCGUACAAUUUUGCAAAUACGUCAAGAUAUAACAAUCAUAAAAACUUCUAUAAUACGAGUAAAUAACACUCAAAACAUACAUACACCAUAUGAAAUUACCUAUUAAAACCAUCUAGCGAGUUGAAAUGUAGGGACUUUUUUGUAAUUUUCCCUUUUUUGACUAUUCUCAACUUAGUUCAAUCUUUGAUCUACAAGAUAACUAAAUUCAAAUUAUCGAUUUUAAAUGCUUUAUAACUCUCAAAUACAUGAAUAUGGAUUUUUCAUUUCAUUUUACAAAAUUUCUUUGAAGUUUUACAUUUUAUUCAAUUUAGUCCCUAAAACUGAAACCACUAUAACUUUCACAUUUAAGCUUCAUUUUUUCAAUAGAUUUUCAAUUUAAUCCUUAUAUAACCCUAUAGAAACAUCAAUUACAGAAAUUUCAUAUCAAAUUUGACACAUUUAAAUUUUAGUCCUUAAACUCAAAACUAAAAAAAAACACUUUAAAAAGUAGUCCUUGAUCAUUUCUAAGUUAACAAAUCUACCAUUUAACAUCAAAAAAGCUUCAAAAACAAAAAUGAAAACUUUUAAAUAUUUGAUAGUUUUACAAAAUAAUCCCUAGACUUUGCUAAAUCAAGCUCCCCAGAUUCCAAAAACAUAAAAAUUACAAGAAAAAAUUUUUUUGACUCACCAAAUUGAAAAACAAACUUGGCCAAAAGUUAGGCCUUCUUCUUCCUUUUAAACUAUAUUUUUGAGUAAAACAAUGGAUGAAUGUUUUCUUCUUUUCUUUUACUUUUACAUUAUAAAACAUGUUUUUUUAUUAUAAAUAAUUUUAUAAAUUAAUAUAAUUAUCAAAUAAUAGGGCCACCAACCGUCCACUAUAAUGCACUAGGGUCUAAUUACCUUCUAAGUCCUUGCUUAAUUACUAAUUAAGCUUUUUAACUAAUUAAAAUCUAUAGCAAUUAACUUCAACGAUUUUUACGAUUUAGUCCUUGUAACCUAAUUAACCAUUCAAUCAACAAAAUUACAAGAUUAAAAUUCAAUGUAAUUCUAUAAUAGACUCAUAAAUAUUAAUAUUUAAUAUUUACUAACUCGAUCAUUAAAAUACAGGGUUUCAUAACUAUCGUUUUUUGCAUCAUUGAAAAAUAGGUUAUUACAUCAGUACUCAAAGCAGCCUUGUAGAUUGUGGGCUCCCUUUUAACCUCUGAAAUCUAUUCAUUCAAGGCCAUCACUGUGGCAUCGAGAGCAUUAUCCCUCACUUUCAGCUUAUCCAUAGUGGAAUAGAACAUCCUUUCCAUCUCUUCCACAUUGGAACUGAGAGACUCCAACACAAAUUCCCUAAGCUUCUCCUUCAUUGAGUCUAGCUUAUCGGUGUGUCCUUCAAAUACUUUGAGUGUGCCAUGGACUCCUCGAGAUUGAUAAUUCUUCUUUCCAAAGCCGACAGCAUAACCCUCAAUUGGCUAGCUUUCCUAGCCCUCUCCCUGGUCUCAAUUGGCUCAAUUUGAUCGUUUAUCUUUCGUCAUUUUGACUGGCGCCUUUGAAAUCUUAGCUCGGAUAUCAACUAUCACGAGGCUAGAACAUUAGUCUAGUAAACCGCAAAGCCUUAGGUGAUUUCUUGGGUUCAAAUCCACCUAAUUCAACCUUAUUCUCGCAAAAUGAGAAUUCUCACAAAAAUUCUCCAAGGCACCAAAGCAAAGUGAAACCAAACUUGAAAAAGAAAAGAGAAAAGAAAGAACAGAAAAGCCACAGAAAAAUAAUGCACAUCAAGUGUUUGAAUAAAUGAUCUUAAAAGUAUUCUAUUAUUUUGAAGGUUUGCAACUAAGUGAGUGGGAAUGGCUCUAUUUAUGGUUGAGCUCCCCUAACUCCAAGUGUACAAAUUAAGUUACAUCGACAAUCAAGAUAUGUGUCUAUUUACAAAAUGAAAGUCCUAAAGGAUUUAAACUCUAUACAUCUUUAUUCAUUAGGAUUUACAUUAAUUACCCUAAUAACUUUAAUUAUAUUAAAGUGUUUCACUGGGCUACCAAGGCUUUAAGUAAAUGGGCUUCUCUAAAUGAGUUAGACCAAUUCAAGCGGGUCAUGCCUUAAUUUUGAGAUUAUCUAUGCAUAUUUAGGAAAUAAAUUAGGCAUUAGUUUGUUGGUUAAGUGUUAGUGAAACGUUCCUUGAAACCCAAAUUCAAAUCCCUUCUCUUUCACCAUUUUUAUUAUUUUGCAAAUUUUGCCUUAAACUAAACCCUAGUAGGUGACAUGCCUUGUUUUUAAAAUAAAUAUUGAAAAAUUAUUUCAAGAAUGAGGAAAAAUCCUAAUAGUUAAUAUAAAAAUUAGAAACCAUGGAAAUUAAAUGAGGUCCCAAGUUCAAAUCCUUUUCCUUAUGAAAUAAUUAAAUUUUGCAAAAUCCCUUAUUUUGUAAUGUCAUCCAUACCCUUGAGCCCUGAGUAUAAAUAAAAUUUUUUAUUGUAUUUUUUAGCCUUUAAUUCAAUUUUUCCCUACCCAAGACGUUCACCCUCUUCCUCUCCUCUUUUCUCUUAAAUUUUCUUUUUUUCUCCCAUUGUUGUCGUCGCCUACACCUCCCAUUUUACCAUCUCUUUCUUCUUCUUUUUGCAUCAAGAUUGUGCACCAUCUCAUUUACUCUAUUGCUUCCAUUUAUCCUCAUCUAAAUAAACCCCAAAUCUAAAAUCUUGAACCCCAAGAUCGAUCCCAAACAUUGCCAAGAAAGUGUCAUUUUCGUUUCUCUCAACUAGCUUGGGUAAGAUCUCUUUUCUCUUCAAUUUCUAGAUUAAUUUAAAUUUUUUAAAGGUAUUUUUCCAUAUUUUAAUGACAUCUCAAAAUGUUUUAAAAUUCAGCCCCAGUUUUGGCCACCAUGGGUGGUGGUGCGUGUGCCUAUGUGCAAGAAAGGGGGUUGUUUUGUUUCUUGGGUCUUGCCUAUAUUUUCCCAGAAUUAAAUUAUGUUCUUGAACCCUCCUAAUCAGUCUUUAAUCACAUUUUAAUUAGGUAGAGGCGUUCUUGAUCAAUUAGCCAAAAGGAUCCCGCAAAUCGUGAAGGAUAAGUGCAAUUAAGGAUAACUAGUUUGUUAUUUCGACAUAGUUGUUGGGUAAAGGUUAUGAAUUGAUUAAAUGGAGGAAUUUAAUCAUUAAUUAGAUACUGGUUUUCUAGUAUAUUAUUGAAUUAGGUGCUGACUCAAAUACCCCAAAUCAUCCAUAAAGGCGAAGAACGAUUGUACGUACAGUUCGCAUCGAUACAGUGUAAGGAAUUUAACUAGUUUGGAUUCAUAAAAUAGUUAUAAUUUCAAUGAUUUGAUUGAACUCAUAAGUGGGUGUUUGGGGGAUGGUUUAGUGGUAAAUUGAUUGAAUUUAUACUGAAUUUUGGUUUAGGUUCGUUUAAGGAAUUAUUAAGGAAAAUUAGAAGAUUCGCUAGUGUACUAAGAUGAAGCAAAAAAUAAGGUGUGGGUUCUAAACUCAUAAAAUUGUUUGAAAAUGUUAAAUGUCAUGUUAUAUUUGAUAAAUUAGCUUACUGAUUGGAUUGGCUUAAUAGCCAAAUUAUUGAUUUUGUGAGUGGUUGAACCAGGUAUGUUUCGAGCCUUAAAAGAUUGACAUGGUAGCAAAAUUUCUAGUUUGGUAGUAUGAAUGUUUGAUUGAGUUGGUAAUUUCAUAUUUGAGUUAUGAGAUAUGAGAAUGUUUGAUUUAAUGAUAUAAUGUGUUGAGAUAUUAAGCUUAUGUAUGAUUUAAAUGCACGAUAUCUUUGUUAUAUUGUGUACUGAAAAGGGUGUUAUUUAUGCACAAUAAAAAUUCGUAAAGUAUGUGAAAUUGAACGAUAUUGAUUGAUACCAACACAAUGGUGAUUUGAAAGAUUGGAAUACUAUUUCCAUUUAUUGAAAGUAUGUGAUUAUUGAGGACAUGCUGAGCAUGUCAAAUGAAUGUGAAAAGUAUUGAGAUAUGAUUGUGUAUGAGAUUGUGUGACAUAUUGCAUAUGCAUUGGGUUCGGAUUCGGAAUCGAAUGAUUACGAGAUAGACAAUGAUACAAAGCCCAGAGAGGAGAGCACUUAGACAAUUCAUUUUUAGUACAGGGAAGUCUGCUGGUAGGAAUUCCUCAGGGCGUAUUACGGUUUUUCACCGAGGGGGUGAAUCGAAACGAUUGCAGCGAAGAAUUGAUCUGAAACGAAGCACUUCAUCAAUGGGCAUUGUAGAAAUGAUAGAAUAUGACCCUAAUCGUUCUUUUCGGAUCGCUCCAAUACGAUGGAUUGAGGGGUCUGGGUCUGCCAGAAGAAAUUGAAUACGAUAGAGGAGUUCGCUCCGCCGAGUAACGGCCCGCCCAAAAUAUUGGAGGGUUCGGGUAAAAAUAUAGGCCCGAAAUAUGGGUUUGGGCAAAAAGCAGGCCGGGCCUCGGCACCACUUUUUUGGCCCAAGCCCGGCCCGGCCUGGCCCGAAUAAAUAAUAAAUAUUUAUUUUUUAUUUUUUUAUUUUUAAAAUAUUUUUAAAAUACUUUUAAAAUACUUUUUUUAUUUUAAAAAUAAAUUUUGUGUUUAUUAAAAAAAUGGGCCGGACCGGUCUCGGGCUUAGGGAUUUUUUCUCGGGCCGGUCCUGGACAAAAUUUCAAGCCUAUAUUUUGGGCUGGGCCGGGCUUAGGACUAGGACGCGGGCCAAAAUUUUUUAUGGGCCCGGCCCGACCCAUGAGCACCACUAACUACACCUGGAGUACCGAGGGGAAAGGCAAUUUAUCGCAUUUUUACUGGCAGCUUGUUUGCAUUUUUACUGGCAAAAUUUUCUGUAUAUUGUUAUAGGUGGAUUUAACCACAACGGGCUUAAGCUCAUAACAUUUUGGAGUUCGAAUGAUGGGUUCUGGGGAACUCGUGGUGUGUAGCGGAUGGUAUGGGUAGAACCUUUUUGCAUUGCAUCAUGUGCACGACAUAUUCGAAUUUUAUUGAUUUGUGCUACGUAUUAUAUUUUGUUGUAUUGAAUGGUAUCAAAAUUAAUGAUUGUUACUUGAAUGAAUGAUGACCCAUGCUCAUACACCAUUUAACAUCAAUUUGAUAAUGGCUAUGUAAUGAUAUGAAAUUCCUAUGAUGGUUCUGUUUUCUUCUGCUAUUACUAAUAUGUUUCACUGUAUUUGAUAUUUCAUUCCGUUUAAAUAAUUGUUCGACUCACACUGAGCUUUUCAUAAGCUCACCCCCAAUAGUAUUUAACUUUUCAAGUAAACCUUGAAAUUCGGACCGGACUUGGCAUCCAGAGAAUCUCCUUGGACCUCGGACUAUUCUUAAUAAGUAUUAUAAAGUCUUUAUUGGUUUUGGUUUAUAUUUUUUAAUUAUUUCUGGUCUGUGGCUUGGUAACUUUUCUUCUGGAAUUUUUGCAUGUAUGGAUUACUCAAGCAUAAUAAUCGAAUGAUGCAUGAUAUCGGGCUUAAGUAAAAUUUGAUAUAGUUCUCUAGUUUCCGCUGCAUUGCAAAGGAACCAUUUGUUUAACAUUGAGUUUUUUUUUUAAAGAAGAGUGACAAGCAAUUUGUUUUUCUAAAACAACACUAUCAACAAUAAAAUAAAUCCUAAGUAUACACGACCUACUGAAUGAAUGCUUUUCAAUUAACUCAGAGUACAACUACUAUUUUCUCUAAAAUGCGUUUAUUUAAUGUGUUCAAAAGUAACAUAAGUUAGCUUAGCCAUUUCGGUGGCUAAUGUAGCCUUCUCAAUCUAGCCAUAACAUCUAGGCCAGGUUUGGGAGAUUACAAGUCAAAUGAUCCCCAUUUAGUCUGUUGACCUCCAUGGGACAUUCUAUGCACAAUGGUCAUGGGCUUUGAUCCCCGGCUUGUGACACAAACAUAUACUUGAAUAUAUGGAAACUUGUGAAAAGAUAGGCCAAAAUACCCUGAGGAUGGCAUGACCUAUUAGUGUAUUAAUAUGAAAAUAAUUGAUGGUAAGAUACCAAGUGAUAUUGAACUAUGUAAUUUGCUUCUUGACACAUAGAAAGAUAACGUUAUACUUCAAUAUUACACACUUUUUUAUUGUUUAAUUCAUUUUUUAUUGAAUUUAAAUUAUUUUAGCACCACCAAGUAUUCAAUAUUCAUCGUAUGGAUUUGUUUAUUUUUGUGUGUAGGCUCUAAUAGGUUUUGACAGAUUAAAAGAAUCAUAAAGCAUCUAAGACUUAAUGGCUCAACUCAAACCAAGUUUGUAUUCUUUUGCUUACAAAUGGUUAAAGACAUGUACCUAGGUUGAGUCAGAUGGUUUAAUGUCAUUUUGGGUCCUAUUGAUAUGCUUUGGUAUAUUGGACUUAUAGUUUCCCUAAAGAUGAAAUUUGAUGCUUAGGUAGAUAACUAAAUGCAUGCUUUUGCUUGCCUUUUUAUCUACCUAUUCAGGUGAAAUAUGAUGCUUUGAAUGUCAUUUUUUUCAAGAAGUGUGAAUGUGUUUGAUAAGUUAGCCAUGCGUGAAUUGAUAUGGUAUAAUGUUAUAAAAAGUUAGGCGGCAUUUGGAUAUGAAUCUUAUGCAUAAAAUUUUGCAUUUUAGACAAUUUGAUAUGUUGGUUUCGAGACAACAAGAACAAAAAUGACUAUUUCAUUCAUUUUUCAAUUUAGGUCUCGAGACAUGUUCAUUAUGUCUCGAGACAUAUAAUGUUAUGUCUUAAGACAGAUAGCCCAUUGUCUCAAGACUAAUAAAUGUUGAACCUAUAUUAGUUUUGCCUUCUUCUAGGUCUAGAGUAAUAAUAAUUUGUCUCGAGACAUUUAAACAUUGAAGCUAAAUUAUGAAAAUAUGGGAAGUAUGUCUCGAGACUAGUUUGGAGACAUGAAUGACCUAGUUUCGAGACAUGUACCUCAUUAUCUCGAGACUUGUCAAAAUAGUAAGCAAAGGAUGUAGGUCUCAAGACAAAAUCACAUUGUUGAACUUCGGUACUUUGAGUUGGAUCCAAAUCCUAGCUUCGAAAUUGAAACCAUGUAACCCUGAGACAUGAUAAUUAAGGAUAUUUGACAUUUAUAAUGCAUGUAUAUGAAUGAUGAUUGAUCUGAUGUGUAUGAUAUUUAUAAGUUAAAUUUGUGAAAAUUUAUUUAGUUAGUCUGAGUUGCUUCGACAACAUAAUGUGACAUCUCACAUUCGAAUCAUCCGAUCGGGUCGAGUGUGAGGUGUUACAUUGAGAACAAUUCAUGUUUCAAAAAAGACAAAAAUAACUCCUAUUUUGGAACAAGCCUCAUGUUUCAAAAAAGACAGAAUAACAAUUCAUUUCAAUAGAUGUUCAGCAAAAUAUGCUUCUCAUGGUACUACUUCACCAAAGUAGAAGAAAAAAAAGUCACCCUAGAAUAUGGCAGGGUCCUUGGGUUAUCUUCACUAUCCGGAUUUUUUAAAGAGUUUGGCUUGGUGAAUCAUAUAUGGAGGUAGUUAAAAGGUUUCAUCUUAACCUUUUCCUGUAACAUUGGGUGCUUCUCUCUUUUUUCAAAAACAUGCAUAACUCUUCUUCAAUAUUCACCAUUACCAACAAAAAAUUUACUAAAAAAUUGACCAUUAAUGCCACUAUAACUGAAAAUUAAUUUCAUUACUCAUAUUAGUUUCUCAUCUUUCUAACUCCCUUUUCCAAACUCUAUAAAUAGAAGCCCUUUACAACUAGUGAAGCGACUUUGACACUUUGGCAGUCUGACUCUCAAAAGUUAUUUCUAAAACUCUUUCAACCUAUUCAUUUUCUAAACCUUAUUCUUAGCCAUACACAUCCUUUCUCCACCUUACAAACCACCACCAUUCAUUAAGCUCAGUGUUACCAAAUUUGCUCAGUCUCCUCACUACCUUCUUCCGGUAAAUCCCAUUCACUUGUUUGCAACACUUCUUUUCUCUACCAAAAAACUCUCUACAACCACAAAGUAUUUGUUUUAAAUAAAUGCUACUUCCACCAAAGUGUUAGAUAUACUUCAACUCAUGUAUAAAAGUAACAUGGCACAUUAGAUUACACCUCUACCAAAUACAUGGUUACUUGCAAGUAAUAAUGACAUAUUAAGUAGCAUACUCACUACUAACAACCCAACCAAACAUAAGUUAAAUUUGUUGUAACUACAUGAAAAUGAAACACUCAAUCAUCUCUUCCUCAACUAUCCUUGAAUGUUUUAUGAUUUAGAUUGGAUUUUGGUCUAUGAAUUUUUAACCUUAUGAUGAAAAAGAUUUAGCUUUUCCUGUGAAAAUUAUGAGAACCUCUUUAAAAUCAACAAAAAAAUCAUGGAUUUAAUUUAUAUUAGCGAGUAUAAUCUCUUGUUUAUGACUUCAAAUUAGUAAACCACACUUGAUUUCUGUAAUAAAACAAGUAAAGGAGAUGAGCAUAGAACUUUGAGGAACAAAGCCUUAACUACAUGUAAAAGGGUUGGUCUAGCAGAAGAAAACCAUUCAACUUAUGUUAUGUUGGAAAAGAAUAUAUACUUGCAUAGCUUAGGGCAAGGGUGUGAAAGGUUUUGGUAUCUCUUUUUGUGUGUUACAUAAUACAUAUAUAUCAUCAUAUAACAAAAUCCUAGAAACAAGGUAAAAGUACCAUGGAGGCCUCUGUACUAGGAGGCAAAUUGCAUUUUGCUUCAUCUACUCAAAAAUAGACAAAUAGCCCCUGAACAUUAGAAAAAAUUGCAAAUCGACCCUUUCAUUAAAAAUUCUAUCCAUAUGCGUUGUUAAGUGCUGAUUUGAAUUUUUUUUUUAAUUUUCUUUAAUGUAAGUAACAUGGAAUUAAAGGAUAAGUAGGAUUAGGUCAAAGUACCAUGGAGGCCCCUAUGCUAAAAGUCAGUUGUAGUUUGUCCCAUCAACUGAAAAAAUGGGAAAAUUAGUUCAUAUACUUUAGAUUAAAGAGUAAACUAGUCAUUCUAUAAAAAAAUCUAUCUAUUUCUACUUUUAAGUGAUGACAUGACUAACAGAGCAACCAAAUAGUGAUACAUGGUGUGCCACAUGUACCUCAUUUGGAUGUGGCGCAUUUUGCCACAUCAAUAUUUAAAAUAAAAAAUAUCAUAAAUAUUUUUUUAAUAUUUAUUUAAAAAACCACGUCUAAUAUGAACCUAGACAACGUUGUCCAUGUUCAAAACCUGAAUAAAUAAUUGUCUAAGUUCAACCAGGACAUGAUUUUAAAAAAAAUUAAAAAUUUAUUUAGAAAAUAUUAAAAUUUAUUAGAAUUAAUAUUUUUUUAAAUUAUUGAAAACAACUUUCAAAAUGAACUGGGACAAAUAGUUAUCCAACUUAAAAUGAGCCUAGACAAACAUUUGACUAGGUUCAUUUUGGAGUUGUUUCUUAAACAAUUAUACAUAAUUAAAGAAAUUUAUUUAAAAUUUAUCAAUAAUUAUAAUAAAUUAAAAAAAUAGGAGUCAUUAACUUGAUUAACUAAAAAUAUAUACUCGAUAAAUAAAAUGUGUGUAUGCGCGCUCUCGCGUGUGUGUAUAUAGGUAUAUUUGAAUUCUUUAAACAUGCUAGAUGUGUAUAUAUGUUAAUUUUAUAAUUUUUUUAAAAAUAAUAAUUGCUUAUAAUUUUUAAUAAUUUUUAAAUAAUUUCCUAUAUUUUUUAUAAUUAUUUAAGAAACCACUCUAAAAUGAACCUAGACAAUCCAAGCUCAUUCGAACUUGGACAACCAUUUGUCUAGGAUCAUUCUGGACAUUGUUUUUAAUCAUUUUUAAUCAAUAAUCAUUUUAUUUUUUUAUAAUUCUUAAUAAUUUUAAAUAAUUCUCUCCAUUUUUAUAAUUUUUUGAAAAACCAUGUCCAGGAUGAAAUGAACUAGGAUAACCAUUUGUCUUAGUUCAUCUUGGAUGUGGAUUUCUAAAUAAUUAUAAAUAAUUAUUUAUUUUUAGGUUUUUUUUAAUUUUUUUUAAAUAUUACCAUAGUAGCAUUAGGUGUACAUGGCACGACAUAAGUUAGUGGCUAGUUCCUCUGUUAGCAACAUUAACAUUUGAUAGUAAAAAUGGAUAAAUUUUUUAACAAAAGGGUUAUUUUGCUCUUUGAUCUAACAUACAUGAGCUAAUAUGCCCCUUUUGAGUAGAGGGGAAAAAUGCAACCCGACUCCUAAUACAUGAGCUUUCAUGACACAAAAUGCAACCCAACUCAUCCUUCAAUUCUAGACCACUUAUAUAAAAAAAUUAAAAAGCCAAAUCAUCAUUUAAUAGCACAUAUGGAUGAAAUUUUUUAAUGGAAUAGUCAAUUUUCACUUCUUCUUUUUCUAACAUACAAGGGCUAAUUUACCCAUUUCUGAGUAGAGGAAGCAAAAUAAAAUUCGCCUUCUAGUACAGUGGCCUUUAUGGUACUUUUACCUAGAAACAUAGAAUAAAAGCUAUUGGAAAAACUUCAAUCACUAAGAGUGUGUUUCUAAAAGAAUGACUUAAAAAAUGUUUUUUUUUUUACAUUUUUCUGUGUUUGUUUUAUAGAAAUAAAUUGGGCAAUGAAAAAUGACUUAUUGGUCAACGAAAAAAAAAUUGUCUUCCCCUUUUGAAAAGCAUAAAAUAUUUUCUAGAAAAGAGCCCUCGUAUGAGUAGACACGUUCAAGGGCCGAGCUACUCGCCCAAAAUCGGAGGGUUUGAAUUAAUAUCUUAAGCUUGAAACAUGAGUUUUGGAAAAAAGAAGAAGGAAUACUCAUUUGAAAUAUGGGUUGCACUUAGGCUCUAACUUUUAAGGAGGGAAAUAUAUUAUAUUACUAGUUUUCUUACCCAUUAGAUGUACUAGCUUACUUAGUGUAUAAAUUAGUUAUAAUCCUAAGAGUUAUGAAAAUUGGUCAAAAUUUGAAUCUAAUAUUAAAUUAUUUAAUAAGUAAAUUUAAAUAAUUUAAUAUAUGUAGAUAGUAAUAUUGAUCAAAAUUAUAAAACAACGAAUCAACCUUUAAUUAAUAAUAGUGUAAAUUAGUACUUAUAUAUAGACGUACAAGUUUAUUGUAUUUACACUAAAAGAUAUAUUUAAUUAAUUCAUAUUAUAUAUAAUACUUACACAUACUAUAAUUUAGGUCAUGUAUAAAGAUAUAAUUAAUUCAUACUUUUAUAUAAAAAAUACACGUGUAUAUAUUAAUAUUUAUUUGAAUUUAAAUUUAAAAUUAAUUUUUUAAUAAAAAUAGUGAAGAACUUAAUACUUAUUUAUAGGGUAAAAUAGUGAAAAACAUUUGCACUAAUUUCUAGGAUAAGUGUGAGUAUGAAAGUGUUCUCUAGCCAAUGUGAGAUUAAAAUUAACGUUUAAUAAAAAUAGUGAAGAAAUGAGUCAUGGGAGUCUUAUCUAGUCAAUGUGGGAUUAAAAUUAACUUUUUAAUGAAGAAAUUAUCACUUAUUUAUAUGGUAUAUGUGAUAAUAUGCGAGUGUUUUCUAGUCAAUGUGAGAUUAAAAUUAACUUUUUAAUGAAAAUAGUGAAGAAAUGGACACUUAUUUAUAGGGUAAGUGUGAGUAUAGGAGUGUUCUCUAGCAAAUCUGGGAUUAAAAUUAACUUUUUAAGAGAUUAAAAUUAAUUUUUAAUAAAAAUAGUAAAGAAGUGAGUUAUGGAAGUACUCUCUAGUCAAUGUAGGAUUUAAAUUAAUUUUUUUCAAUUAAAAUAGUGAAGAAGUGAACUAGGAGAGUAUUUUCUUUGAUCAAUGUGAGAUUAAAAUUAAAAUUUUUAAUGAAAUAGUGAAGAAAUUGUCACUUAUUUAUAAGGUUAGUGUGAGAUAUGAUAGUGUUCUCUAGUCAAUGUGGGAUUAACUUUUUAAUGAAAAUAGUGAAGAAAUUGACACUUCUUUAUAGAGUAAGUGCGAGCAUGUGAGUGUUCUCUAGCCAAUGUAAGAUUAAAAUUAACCUUUUAAGUUAAAAUUAACUUUUUAAAGGAUUAAAAUUAAUUUUUAAUAAAAAUAGUGAAGAAGUGAGCUAUGGAAUAUUCUUUAGUCAAUGUGGGAUUAAAAUUAAUUUUUUUAAUGAAAAUAAUGAAUAAAUAAGCUAUGAGAGUAUUCUUGCAACAACCCGAUUUUUAGUGGUGUCGAAAAACGAUGGUUUCGGAACCUUAUUUUCGAUGAUUGAGUCCGUAAAUAUUAUUAUUUAAUAUUUACGAGUUUAUUUUGAAUUAUAUUGAAUUUUGGUUUAGAAAUUUUAUUGAAUUGAUAAUUAACUAAGGUACAAGUGUAAUGACCCUAAAGUCAGUGGUAUCGAAAAAUGAGGUAUCGGGACCUCAUUUUUGUGAACCGAGCCCAUAAAGAUUUUUAUUAAAUAUUUAGUGAGUUAUUAUAUAGGUGAAUUGAAUUUUGAAUAAUUGAAUUUUGAAUAAGUAAUUUUGCCGAAUUAAUUACUAAUUAAGGUACAAGGACUAAUUUGUAAAAGAGGUAAAAGUUAAUUUGUAACAUCUCAAAAAUUAGGGGUUAGAAUUCUUAAGAAUUAAAACAUAGCAUAAUUGGUUGGAAGCCUAGUAGAAAGUCUUGGGAACUUAGGUAUAAGUCGUAUAAAUUUGAUUUUAUCUCUUUAAUUUUUCUGCAGAUACAGAACCUAGGUAAUAUGCUUUAUGUAUUUAUUUGUGUGAGUAUUAAGCAUGAAUGUGGGCACUAGCCCAAUGGUUAAGGCCUUCCCAACUUUUCCUCUCACUUCCAAAGUUCUACCCAUAUUAGCUUAUCUCAUUUUUGAUGAUUUUUAGACAAAUGGGUUAUUUGCCCAUUAGCCCUCAAACUCUUCCCCAACUCAACUCUUUAAGCCCUUUUCUAAUUUAACUAAAAUCUCCUAUUUGUUAUUUUAUCAAAUUGAAACCCUAACUCUCUCUAUUUAUACCCUAGUUUUCUCUCAAAAUUCUCUGUUUCAAAGCUCUUUUAAGCCCUUAAGUUUUGCUGAAAAAUAUUCUUUAAGUUUUUGAAAAUCCAAUCAAGUCUUCAUCAAUUCUUCUAUUUCAAAUUAUUGACAUCUGUUUCAUUAUAUCGUUGAAUUUCUAUCAGGAUCGGUAAGUAUCUCAUUCCCUGACAAUUAGGACCCUUCAAUUCUGGAAAAUAUCGAGUUUUGAUAAAUCUUUCAACCCAAUUAUAAAUUUUUAACGUUUUUGCCGAAAACCUCCACAAACGUUGAAAAUUUGUUUUUGAUUCUUGUAUUGUGCCAAUUGAAAGACCAUUGUAGGUGUUUGGAUCGAGCUUGAACGUGGGGUAGUCACUUGAGAUCUCAAGAAAGUAAGGUGGGUGACUUUUUAUGAAAUAUCGAGUCAAAUUUUGAAAUUGCCCAGGUACACACAGUCUACCACAUGGGCAUGUGGCUCGUCCGUGUUGGACACAUGAUCCUUCACAUGGUCAUGUCCCCUUGAUUUCCCUUGCAUUUACGUUUUGCACACGGUCUAGAGACUCGCACACGACCUGGUCACAUGGCCAUGUGGCUCCUGCACCUUUUUCCCUUCGCAUCGCACACAGCCGAAUGCACGACCAUGUGGAUCCAUCACACACGGUCUAGAGCCUCACACACGGCCUAGGCACAUAGCCGUGUGGCUCCUACAAUUCCACCCCUUCGUUUUGCGCAUGACCUGGGGCUUCAUACACAGGUUGGUCACAUGACCGUGUGGCCCCUAAAACUUAAAAAAUUACUGCUUUGCCUUAUCUUUAAUUAUUUUAUACAAUCCAGUCCCUGAUUAGGUUUUUAAUGGCAUCUAGAGAACUAAAUUAUGCAACUAGGUCCUAGACUAGGUUUACAAUGACUAAAUAUAUAAAUGAAUGAAUUUACUAUUUAAAUUGCUUUUGAUUGAGUGCUUGAUCCAUGAAUGACUUUAUAUUUAUCAAUGCUAUAAACGUCAAAUGAACGUCUCAUGUGCCUAAAUGAUUGAACUAUUAAUUGUUGGAUAUAAUUGUGAAUGUUGUUAUUAUGUAAUGAAAUAGAAUGUUGAAAGUAUUAAUGAUUGAGUGAAUGAAUGCAUUAAAGAAUGAUUGCAUUGCAUAUGCAUGGAGGGAUGAUAUGAGAGGAGGAAGAAGGGCAGCUCAUAUUGACUGCAUAAAUGAAUGAUUGACUGUGUACCCAUAGAACGGUAGAUUCCAACUGCAAUUUUACUGUGCUACAUGAUCCCUCUGACAGCUAUUAUCCGCGAGCGGUCGUGACUCUGUAAUUAAAUGAAUGUUUGCUAUGUAUUCACAGCCAUAGCAUAUUCCAACUCUGACAGUCUUACUGUGUACCUAUAGUUAUAGCAGAUCCUAACUAUGACGUUUUUGCACUGUGCUCUCACAGUCCCUCCAACAGAUUUCUAUUAGGAGUGGUUGUGUUUCUGUAGUUAUAAUAGCUUUUAUCUGCACCCAAUGAAUGUAGUGGUAAAAGCCCACGAGCGGAGUUAAAAGUUAGAAGAGGUUCUAGGGAACUCCCUCUUUGAAGAGCUAGUGGUCAAAGGUAGGAUUAACGAAUGUUAAAAGAUACGUCAAACUAAUGUUGCAUGACAUACCAUGCAUUCUCAUUGAAAGGCACAUGACAAAGCGAUUAAACUGAUAAAUGUGCAUAUACCUACUGUGAGUGAUAUUAUGACUCUAUAGUUGAAUUGUUCAAACAAAUUCGAUUAAGUGUUAAUGUCUGCUUGUCUAGAGUAAUAGAAACUAAAUUACCAUAUUGUUAAGGUUGUUAUCUGAAUUUAACUACAAUGAUGGACAUGUAUGUUCGAAUAUUGAACUGAUUUAUUAUAAAGGGUCUCCCACUGAGCCUCUCUAGCUCACUCCCCUACUUUCCAUCUUUUCAGAUAACCUAACGGGCUAAGACGCGGACUCGACAUACGGAGGGUCUCAGCUUGUCCUCACCAAUAAUUUAUUAUUUAUUAUUAUGAUUACCACAUUAUUUUAUUAAAAAUCGUGGUUUGAGAUUUAGUUUUAAUUUAAUUGUUAGAUGCAUCUCAUUUAGUAUAGGCUAUAAAAUUUAGAUUAUUAUUCGUUAAUAUGUGAUUAAACCAAAUUAUAUUAUUAUAUCAGCUUAUCUUAUAGUUCCACUGCCAUUCCUAAUAAGUUAAAACUAGAAUUUAUAAAUCACCUGUAUAAACUUGAGUUUUUAAAAGGAAAAUUGAAUUUGAUAAGGACCAAGCCACUUCGGUGGUUAAUGUAAGCUCUCAAAUUCAGAACUACCGUCUAGGUCGGGUUUGGGAGGUUACAUAAUCGCUAUGAAAUUAUAAUUAAUUGAAGGACCAAUUAGAAAUUGGACCCUUCCAAUAAUGUCAAACAGUAGUGGAUGUUGUUUGUCACCCACUUAAUUGAUUAAUUAAGUUUAUAAUUAACUAAUUAAGAUUUAUUCAAUUAAAUUAGAUUAAUUAAAACAAACAAAUUAUUUCUUCCUUCUCCACUCGUCUUCUCCACAUAAAAAAGGAAAAUUUGGGGUUUUGAGUUUGAACUUUGGUCCUUCAAAAUAGGUAAGUAUACAAGUUCGUUUCUUGUAAUUUUUAUAUUUUUAAGAUCAUGGUAGGUCGAUUUAGCUAAUCUAUGUUUUAUUUUUCGAAACUGUCAAAGUUUCAAAAUGUUGCCAUUGAUGAAUGCUUGAAUUUAUUAGUGUUAUUUGGUUAGAUUUUAAGCUUGGAUAUGAAAAUGACUAAUUUGUAAAGUUUAAUUAUUAAUUUUGAACAUAGAUACUAAAGUGUAAAUAUUUAAAAAUUGAGGAUAAAUUUCCAUAAUUAUGGAUAAUAAAGGGCUGUAGAAGGAGGUAAUUAAAAUCGGACUGUAAAUCGAAGCUCAAAUUUGAAAGAUAUAUCUAUUUCAAUUUUAGGGACUAAAUUGAAUAAAAUAAAAAACUUUAGGGAAAAUUAAAAAAUUAAAAUUAAAUUUAUUUAUGCUUACAAUAAGAUGAUAUAAAGUAUCUGAAAUUGAUAAAUUGAAAUGAAUUAUCAUAUAGAGUGGGAAUUGAAUCAAACAGGAGAUAAUCGAGAAAAAAGAAAAAUUACAUAUUAGCCCUCAACAUCUUAUUUGCUUGUUGUUUUUCUAGGUAAGUUUAUAUGAAACUUCCUAUGUUAAUUUUUUUUAUGUUUUUUUUUGUAUUAUUUUGCUUGUUGAUAGAAAUGAUGUGAAAUUUAAUGAUUUAUGGCAUCGAAAGGACUAAAUCGUAAAAUAAGAAAUAUAUGAUAAAUAUGAAUACAUGAUAUUGAACGAAUGUUGAAUUGUUAUAUGAUUGGAUAGUGUAUAUACGAUGAUGCUACAAUGUUUAAAAUGUAUAUGGAUUGUUAUUCGAAAUGUGAAAAGUGUGUAUACGAUUAUAGGGUUUGAUAUGAUACAAAAAAGGAUUAAAUUGUAAAAUAUGAAUUACACGACAACCAUGAAUGGAUACGAGGUAUCAAAUGGUAAAGAAAUGCUUAUAUGGAUGAUACGAUAUGUAAUAACUAUUAAAGAGAGAUUGAAUUGAUACAAAAAUGGUAAUAGGCCCAUGUGAACUCGGUAAAUGAUUAGGAUACGAAUGACAUGGAAAUAGGGUUCAAAAAGAAAUCGGGUGUGGGUCAGGGAUUCAUUUAUCGAUGUAUAAGAUCCAGCAUGUGUUGCGAAUUCUCGACAACUUGAGUGAGCAACAUCGAAUAAAUUUUGUAAAAGUAAACUUGACCUACAGCUUGUGUGAGCAAAUUCGAAUAUUGCAACUUAUGUGAGCAAAAUUAUCCCAUGUAUCUGACAUUAAUUUAGUAUAGCUCUUCGGUCGAAAACUGUGAUUAAAAUGGAAAUGAAAUGGUUGAAAGGUAUGAUCAUGAAUUGAUUUGUUGUGUUUAUAGUCUGAACAUGAUUCAAAUAGUAUAUAAUGCAUAAUGGAAUAGUUGUAUAUGAAUUAAGUUUUAGGGUUUUGUCGCAAAUGGACUAACCUAUUGAUUGUAUAAUUGAACUGUACAUGAUAAUGUAAGGACGCUAAGGAUGCCAUGUUAUGUAGCAUUAUAUUACAAUUACUUAAUUCGUUGUAAAGUCAAAGUAAGUUAAAUCAAUUUUCGUAUAAACUUGCUAAGCGUUCAAAAUCUUACUCCAUUAUUUUCCAUUUAUGUAGAUUUUUUAUUUGUGGAACUUGUCAGUCAAAUCAACUAGAAGAUUACACUAUCCCAUAAUCAUUUUAGUAGUCUUUUGGCCUGUUUUAACCUUGGUUUCAUGGCAUGUACAUAAGUGUCGUUUGUGUAACAUAUUGUGGAUGAACAGUUUAGUUCAAAUGUUGUUUAAUGCUUGUUGAGAGGAAUCUAAAAUUCAUAUACGCAUUAAAGUAUGUUUUGGGCAAUAUGAUAUAUUAUAUUUGUGAUUUGGUAUGAAUGGCUAGUUGAAAUUUCAAUGGUAUAUUUUAAAUGUGGUUAGGGCAAAGUUUCAACUUGGUUGAAUGAUUGAAAUUGUGACAGCCUGAUUUUGACCCUAAUCGGAACAGUGGUUUUGGGACCACAAAUCCGAGUCUGAAAAAUAUUUUAAUAUUAUUUUUUUGUUAAUUAUGUGUGAAUUUACAUAUGUGAAAGUUUCGUGAAUUUAUUUUAUUGUUUGUCUGCUAAAUUUGAAAAAAUGGCUUAAUCGCGUAAAAUAAAAAAUUUAAUGGUUAAAUAUGAAAGUGCCUAAUUGUUGUUGUCUUUAUAAUUUGGAGGUUCUAUGAUGCAAUUAGCCCACUAUAUAAGUUAGUGGAUGAAAAUGGUCAAGAAUGACCUUAUAUUAUAUGUUAUAUAUAUUAACUUAUAAAGGUUAAAUUAGUAAAUAAAAUAUUAUAAUGUAUUUAUAAUAAAACAAAACAUAAAUUAAAAGCAUUAUCAUGUUCAUCUUGCCUAAAGUUGCUAAAGAAAAAGAAAAGAAAAGAUCUUUGAAGCAUUCGGCCAUUACUAAGCUCAAUCAAGGUAUAUUUCGGUUUCGGUUUUUGAUGAUUUUUAUGUUUUUGAGAUCGUUGCUUCGAGUACUACAAAGCCCAUACUUGAAUUUUUGAAUUGGUUGUGUAUUUUGUGAUAUUCCAUUGAAGAGAGCUUGUUGUUUUUGUUGUUAGAUGAUGGAAAAUAAAUAUAUGUUGUUAGAUUUUCAUGUUUUAAUUAGUAAUUUUUGAUAAAAAUGUGUAUUAGAGACUAAAUUGUAAAAAGUGUAAAAUGUCAGGGGCAGAAUAGUAAUUUGCCCAUUUAUGUGUUUUUGGAUUAAAUUGAAUGGAAUUAUGUUUAAAUAAGUUUAAUUUGAAUAUGUUUAGAUCAUGAACCAAAGAAAAUGGAUUUGGAUCGGGGAAAAACAAAAAUAAUCGAAUAGCCGUCUAUUCUGUCCGUCGAUAUCCGAGGUAAGUUUAUAAGCAAAUAGAUGUUAUAAUUUUUAAUUAAAUGUGAAUUAUAUGUGCUAAAAUGAAUAUGUGAAUAAAUAUAUGUAUUAGCAGAAUGUGUACAAGCUUGGCAGCUAUGUUUAUGAAUUCGUUUCGACUGAGUUACGACGUCCGAAAGCCCCGUAUGAGCCUUAGGAAUAGUUAGGAUACAUAUGUCAUGACAUAGGAUUUCGAUAUGUAUUUUCGUGUAAGACCACGUCUGGGACGUUGGCAUCGAAUUGUGUAUACGUGUAAGACCAUGUCUGGGACAUUGGCAUCGUAUUUGAUUUGUGUAAGACCCUGUCUGGGACAGUGGCAUCGAUAUGUGAUUACAUGUAAGACCACGUCUGGGACAUUGGCAUUGUACGAGCCUUCCAACUAUCUGAGUAUCCUUUUUUAAUUCCGAAUGGUUCAACAGGUAAAGAUAAGUUGUGUACGAAUGUUUAAAUCAGGCUAAGUGACCAGGUAUGUGAUAAUUGAUUAUCUAUUUGAAAAUAAGGUAAGUUGUAUACUUAAAUUGAUGAUAUGAAGUUAUGUGAAAUAUGAAUUAUGUGGUUGCAUAAUUGAAUAUAUAUGUAUUCGGCCUUUGAUGUAUAUGUGUAUUGAGGAAAGUGAUGAUUAGUUAUACUAUCAAUUGAUUAUUUGGUAAAGAGGGAAGUUAUUACAAAUUAUAUAAGUUUUGAUAUAUAAGUUGUUAAAUUGAAUUAUAUGUGAAAUUAUAAUGGUUUAUUACUAAUUGUCUAGCUUAAUUUACGUAAAUGAUUAAAUGUUUAUUUGCUUAUGACUUACUAAGCUUUGAUAGCUUACUGUGUGUAAUCACUUUCUGUUUUAUAGAUUUGGAAGUUGGUUAUGAGCUCGGCGAUCGUCAGAGAAGUCUAUCACACUAUCGACUACUGUUUUCAGUAUUUUACUAAGUUUGAAAUUGAACUUAUGGUAUGUAUAGUCUAGUUAAUAUGUUUGAUUUCGGGUAUGUUAAUAUGAGCCAUGCGAAAAUGGCUUAUUUAUUUUGUUAAGCAUGGUUUUUAUGCUUUUGAACAAGUGUUAGAUAUGUUGAUUUUGGUAUCUCGUCUAUGGCAUAUUUAUUUAUGUGAAUUAUGUUUGAUAUGUUUUGUUAAGAAUGUGGUAAAUAAUUCGGCAUAGGUGAGCUUAGAUGAAGCAUAUAAGUGAAGUGAGUUUGGUAUAUAUAUGUUAUGGUGUUUUAGUCACGUGCUUCGGCAAUGAGGUAAAUGAUAUUCAAGCUUAAUUAAUCUUGGUUAUGUGUUAUAUAUAUAUAUAUAUAUGAUAUGUGUGAUAUGUUUUGUUUUGGUAUUGGUGUUUCGACUAUGGUUUAUUUAUAAGUAAAUAUAUGUGAAUCUUGUUUGAUAUGCUUUGUUAAGGUAUUGUUAUGUAAUUUAGUAAUUAAGAGAUUAUGGCAUAUAGGUGAAAUGCUAAGUAAAUCAUAGAUGAAAUGAUAGUUAAAUUUGGUUUGUAAGAGUAUAAUUACAUUAAUAAAUUGAUUUGAAAGAAACUAGUAAUGUGCAUGUGUAUGUACGGUUAUAAGGUAUGGAAGAACAUGUGUAUAUUUGGUCAUGAUCUAGACCUAUUUUGGAAGUGUGUUUUAUGCUAUAAAUUGGUGUAUGGAUAUAGGUUUGGAAAAUGUGAAGUGAUAUGUAUGAUUUUAUUAUUUGAAUCGAUAUGGUUUGAUUAGGAAAUGGCAUAUUUUGACUUAUGAUUUAAUGGCUAAAUCUUGUACAAUUUAUGAGGUUAUUUAUGGAUGCCAAUUUGUUAUGAAAUAAAUUAGGAACGUGGAGUAUUUAAUAAAGUUACGAUUUGCUCAUGCAAGUGGACUUAAUAUUCGAUUUUGUAUUUGUAAAAUGAUAUGAAUUGUAUGGAUUUUUGGAUAUGGCUAAAAUGGUGUAUUCAUAUGCGCAAACUUGUAAUAGAUAAAUAUGCAUGUUUUUGGUCUUUUAAAUGAUAUAUAUAAAUGAUUUUUAAAGUAGGCUUAGAAUUUAUGAAUAAGAUACAUACAAAUUCGGGUAAUAAUAGUUAAGUGAGUAAUACAAGUUUGAAUUUAACUUUUAUAAAUUUAUUGGAUUAGUCGAUUAAAGGAUAAGUUGAUUUGUAUUGAGUGUGUAUAGUUUAUGAUUGAAUGAUUUCAUUGAAAUGGGCAUAUGUGUAUAAUAUAAUGACAUUAAAGGUAUGUAAGGCUAAAAUAUAAUGUUACUAAUGUUGCAUUUGUGAUUAGACAUUAAGUUGUAUACAUAUUGGUUUCAUUAUGUACAUAUGCAGAAGUUAUGAAAUACAAAGUUUGAUAUUUAGAUGAUGAAAUUAUGUACGUACAUAUUCCCUGUAUAUGAAAAGUGAGGAUAUAUGCUUGAAUAUGAUUUAAUUAUGAAAAUGUCGUUAAUACGAUGAAUUUAGGGAAAUCGAAUAUUGCAAGUAUUAUAUACUUGAACAUGACUCUGAUAUAUACAAGUUUGGUUCGAAUUUGUUAAUUAUAGAAUAUGUUCGAUUGAGCUUUGAUGUAUGUUUAAAUUGAAUUAAUUUGAAUUUUGUAAUGUGUUUAUUUCUAAUACAUGCUUAGUAAGGUAUGAUUGAUUUGAAUUGUAAUUAUCAUAUAUAUAUUUGAAUUUAAAAUAAUUGAAUUAAGGAUAUUCAAGUUUGAUAAUGUUAUAAAUGUAUCGUUAUUCUUUGGUGUAUGAAAGGUGAUAAAUGACUGUGCUAAACUGUGUCUUGUUCGGUAAUGCCUCGGAACCCUAAUCUGGCAACGGAUACGGGUUAGGGGUGUUACAGAAAUCAUGUUAAGUAAUUUGUACAGUUUAUUAAGUUGUUUUGAGUUAAUUUGGUGUUAGUUCAAGAUGUUUUGAAUUGGGGAAAUUUAUAUUAUACAUAUAUGAGUAUGAAUUGACUUGACUUGAGAAAGUGAAUGUUGAAUAAUUUGAAAUGUUAUAAAUAGUUUUGAUAUGAAUUGGUGCCGAAUGUGGCAUAUUGUAUGUAUUGUGCAGGUGUAGGUUGUGUUAGGUGCCAUCUUUGAGUUGAUUUGGAAAAUGGUUUUAAAUGGUUGUCAAAAGGCUUAUUUAGUACCAAUAACAGAACCCACGUCGCAACGUCGUAUGGUGGACGUCUCGACGAGAAAUGGACUUUAGGCCAUGUCAAAACGAGGCCAAGUCAGUAUGUCAUGUCACGACGAGGAACUCCCUCACGUCGCAACAUCAAUAUGAACUUUUGAAAUAUUUGCAGUUUGGUCAUUGUUCAAUGUCGGGUCAACUUUAGAGCUUAUGUAAGCUCGUUUAAGAUUCGGGAAAGGUUUUUAAAUUGUACUGAAUGACUUAAAUGAUGGUAGUUGAUGAUUUUCGAUUUGAAUUAUCCGUUAAAUGUCUUUAAUUGUUUCGUUUUAUACUGUAUCAAAAUGUAACUUAGUCCCGGCGAUCGGGGCAGACAAGGGGUGUUACAAUUCUCUAGUCAAUGUACUUAUUUAUAAGGUAAAUAUGAGAUCUAAGAGUGUUCUCUAGCCACUGUGGGAUUAAAACUAACUUUUUAAUGAAAAUAGUGAAUAAAUUGAUAUUUAUUUAUAUGGUGUGAGCAUGUGAGUGUUCUCUAGCUAAUGUGGGAUUAAAAAUAAUUUUUAAUGAAAUAGUGAAGAAGUGAACUAUGAGAGUAUUCUCAAGUCAAUGUGAGAUUAAAAUUAACUUUUCAAUGAAAAUAGUGAAAGUUAGAUAUGAGAGUAUUAUCUAGUCGGUGUGUGACUAAAAUUAACUGUUUAAUAAAAAUAGUGAAGAAAUUGUUACUUAUUUAUAAGGUAAAUGUGAGAUAUGAGGGUGUUCUCUAGUCAAUGUUGGAUUAAAAUUAACUUUUAACUUUUAAAUAUCUUAAGCUAUAUCUAAAAAUAUGUAUAUUUUUAUCUUAUUAAUUUAUCUGAAAAAAUAAAAUAAAUGGUAGUCGAACUAUAAAACUAUUUCAUAUAAAUAUAUUAUUAUAUAAAUAAUUUCAAAUUAUAAACUUUUUCUCAUAAAAUUUUCAAAGAAAAAACUUUAAAGAGUUUAUGAAAAUAGCAAAGAAAUUUAUACUUAUUUAAGUGUGAGUUAUGGGUGUUCUCUAUUCGACGUAGGAUUAAAAAUUGAGUGUAUAAACAAUUGCCACAUGCCAACUUAAUGAGUAUGCCAUGGGUCAAAAAAUUAGGUUAUUCACAUUAAUAGGGAGCUAAAGACGUUAUAAUAUAUAUGUAAUUUAUGUUAUAUAAAAUUAAAUUUAUAAUAAUAUAUAAUAUUAUAGUGUAAAUAUUAAAUGAUACAUUAACUUGUUUAUAUUUAAAUUUUUAAUAAAAAGAAAAAAUAUUAAAUAUCAAAUUCAAAAUAACAUAUUUUUAAAAAAUAUUUUGAAAUAUUAGCAAUGUGGGCGACCUAAAUCGAGCUUAAUUAACUAUUUAAAAAUAAGGAUAGGCUUUGAUAAAUUUUAAAGUCAUAUUUUUCAUUGAAUCAAUAUUGAGCAAGCAAGAAAUGUAUUAAUAUUACAUGUAUGUCUAACUCAAAGUUAACCCAUGAACACCUCUAUUUAUAAAUAACAUAAUUUUAAAAUAAAAUUAACUUAAAUCGAGGUAAAUAUUAUUAUAUCCCUAAUAAAUUCAACCAACUUAAUGAAGACUCAAAGUUUCACGAAAAUCCUUUCAUAGUGUGGAGCUUACACUGAAAAUUUCAUGACCGCACAACGACAGUCCCGUUUUAGGACGUGGUAUGCCAAAGUUUGACCCGUUGGAUUAAGCUCAUACUGUUUGUGGAAGCUAAAUCUGGACGGUUGGCGAAGAGCUGGCGCCAAUCAGCUAGGUUUCAAUGCUGUGGUUUGGGAUAGUAAUGAACACGUAUGAUAUGGAAGCUUAUAUGCAAUCCUCCUUGGCAUGUAGCGGGGCCUUGAUUUGCAGGUGAAUUAUGUCAAGAUUGAAAGUGAUUUUUUGGUUUUUAUUAACUUCUUUACAGCUAGUGACCAUAUAUGUCUAGCUUGGGGACUUUUGAUUGAUUUUAUUAAGUCUCUUCUUCAUAGUUUUUACAAUAUGUUUGGAUUGUAUUAAACCUAGAGAAAGGAAAUGGAAGGAAAGUAACACCCUUUUCCUUAUUUGGAUAGUUUCUUCUCCCCCUUGGGUUACUUAAGUUUUAAUUACUCCAUUUGGGAGAAAAGUUUAAGAAAAAAAGUGAAGUUACUUUUAAUUUAUCCUCUUAAUCUUUUACAUGAAUUAUUUAAAAAAUAAUAAUUAUAAUCAAUCAUUCUCUUAAUUUUCUAAUGUAUAAUUAAACAAAAAUUAUAGUUUUUUUAUUUUACUUUAUUAAUUUUAUCUAUCAAAAUAAAAUAAACACACAUAAUAUAUUAUUUUAUUUAAUUUUCCCCCUUUCUUUUAUAGAUUUUUAUCCAAAUAUAAAGUUAGUGUUGCAAGGUUGAAUCAUGUUUUGCGAUUUGGGAACCAACCCGCUCAUCAUUUGGUAAAGUUUGUCUUGCCGGGGUCGUGAUGGUAGUGUCUCGUAGAGAAGUCAACCUCUUCCUUGUAGUCCAUGGAUUUGUAUUGACAUUGAUUCUAUUAAUAAUGAAUUUUUUCGGUGCACUCUUUUUUCACUUUAAAAUGGUUUUUAACAAGACAUCGUUUUUUAUAAAAAAAAUUAAUUUAAAAUUUUUAAAAUAUUAAGAUUUUUAAUAUUAUUAAAUAUACAUAUUUGUAUUUAAUAAUAUAUAAUAAAUUAUUAAUAUAAUUAUUAUUUUAUUAUUUUAUUAAAACUAUUUAAAAUUACAAUUUUAUUUUAAUAAUAAAUUAUAACAUUGAUAAUAAUUUUAAAAUUUAAAUAGUAUUCUUAAUAUUUUAUCAAGAAUAUUUUAAUAAUAAAAUAUAGAUUAUAAUUUACAGUUAUUUAGUAAUAAAUUUUUAUAAUAUAAAAUAUAAAUAUUUUAGUAGUAUAAAUACGGAUAUUUAUCUAAAUCCUAUUUAACUUUAUUUAUUCCUUCCGGGUCCAAUGUUAUGUGCUGCGAUCCGCUUUUAUAUAUGAUCUAAAAUUUAAAUUUUAAUUAGGCAUUAAUUAUAUAAAAAUAAAUUUUAGUAAAAAUUAUUAUAUUUAAAAAAAAAGGGGGUUUUGGAAAGCUGCAGUGAAACAAACAUAGUGUAAGAGAAGUGGUAAUUCACUCAAGCAGACAAGUGGAACAACAGAGCAUGUUUGUGUAAGAUAUUCUUUGUAACUGUUUAGUUUUGAAAGGGCAAUAUCUACAUCCGGUAGAAGACAUGAGUUCUAGGAUUAGAAAGAGUGUGAAAGAUGGGAAUUAUGGCAAACAAUGGAUGCCUUUUUCUUUUUUCUUUUUUCUUUUUCCAACGUAUGAAAAAUAUCCAAUUCUUUGAGAUAUUCCUUUUGAUAAUUUAUUGCGAGUUUUUACCAUUAAACGACAGCUCUUCACGUCGUACCACAUUUCGACCUUAAUUUCCACGGUCGUGGCGUAUUACGCACCCGUCUACCUUAAUCAGUUCUCACCUCGCUUAGCGCAACCAAAGCGAAAAAAAGGUAAAACGAAAAACAAAAAACUGCAGCAAGGAUUUUCCUCUGGUUCUCUUCUCUCUUUCGACUUUCACUGAUCAUCCAUGGCUCAUACCUCUGCUUCCGAUUCCCGCCGCCUCCUCACCGUCAACCCUCCCCAUCCGAUCUCCAAAGGUAGUUUACCUCGCCGAUUUCCUUUCCCCUUCUACCAUUAAGGGAUUAACAUCUUCUUACAUUCGUCUUCUCUAAAACCCUACCUCUUACCAUUUCUUCUUUUGCUUAUUUCUUUCUGAUAUUUAAAUGCAUUGUAGAUUCAGUGGUUUUACGAGAUUGCUCUGUGCGUGUUUUUUUUUCUUAAUAUUUUUUAGUUUGUUGCUUCGAAGCUAGGGUUUUUGUUUUAUCAUCUGUAAGGUUUUUCUUUUCUCUCCUUUUUUUCUCUGGUGCCAUUUUUUUUGCGGUUAAGCACGGCACACUUUAGUUUCCGACUUACCGUUCUUGAUAUAUAUAUAUUUCAAUUUGAAAAGUACGAUGUGAUAAGGGCGUAGUGAAGUAGUUCAAUUUAUUUUUUCUUUUUCAGAUUAGUUCAACUCAAAACUAGUAUUAGACUUUCUUUUAUUGCGCAUUAUUUUUCAGUCUUGAUUCAAAUGCUUUGAUUUAUGUGAUUAAUUAUAUAAAAAAAAAUUGCAUAGUUGUUUAUUCCAUUUAUAAAUGGCACCUUAGCUUUGUACUGACAAUUGAUUGUGCAAUUUGUCUUGUUAGCUGCUUCAUUAAUGCAUUUUAUUGAGAAAUUCCUUUGGCUUCUUAUUAGUUUGAAAUGCUGCCUGUGAAAGUUGAUUGAGGCUUCCUAAAUUAUUUCAUUCUAGUCUUAACGCUUUUUAUUUUUCAUUGUUUCGUGCUUCUGUUUUUCAUAUUCAAUGAUGAAUCAACAUGGCAGUUUCAAGAGGCAAGUUCAGUAAUUUACCAGAAAAUGUGUGUAUUCAAUAAAAUUCUGGGCUUGAGGCAUUUCUAAUGACUUGUUGCGUACUGUCUUUGAAUGGGACUAAGCAUUUUGAUUUCAAAUACUUGCUUUGAAUAGCUGCCAUGUUUCUAAUUGAUGCUUCUGAUUAUUUUGUGUAGAUGUUCAAGGAUCUGACAAUCCUAUUCCGCUUUCACCACAAUGGCUUCUUUCAAAGCCAGGGGAGAAUAAGCCCGAAAUAGGAACUAUGGUAUGUUAUUAUUGUUGUUGUGUACUGAUUUGUGGUGUCCUUGUUCAUUUAUAGACGGGUUUAAUGUUGUGUGAAGGCUUUCUCCAUCCUUCUAUCAACAUACAGUUCUCAUCUCAAUAAUUAGUUAAUAUUCUGUUUAAUAUUCUUACUGUCUCAGACUCCCCCCUUAAUUUUAAAUCAUCCAUGCAGGAAAAUCAUUCUGUGCCAUAUCCUUCUCAUGGAGGUCACUCUGAAGUCAUGAAGCCGUCUGGAAAUGGCGAGGGGAUUCAUGAUACCCCAAAGAAGGAUGUCUUUAGGCCAUCCUUACUUGAUAUGGAAACUGGCCGCCGAGACCGCUGGCGUGAUGAAGAACGAGAUACCCAUUCAUCUCUGCGCAAAGAUCACUGGAGGGAUGGAGAUAAAGAGCUCAGUGACACCCGCAGGGUUGAUCGAUUGGUAGAUAACUUGCCUUCAAGACAAUUUGGAGAAGCACGCCGUGCACCGACUGAGCGGUGGACUGAUUCAGGUAACAGGGACUCAAAUUAUGAUCAAAAGCGUGAGAGCAAAUGGAACACACGCUGGGGGCCUGAUGAUAAAAACAAUGAAAGGUCACGAGAUAAGUGGGCAGACUCUGGUAGAGAUGGUGAUAUGCCUCUUGACAAAGGGUUGCCUCAUCUUUCCAGUCAUGGGAAGGAUGUGAGAGAGGGGGAUCACUAUCGCCCCUGGAGAUCCACCUCUUCUCAGAGUCGAGGAAGGGGAGAGCCUCCCCAUCACCAAGCACUAACUCCAAGCAAGCAGGUUCCCACGUUUUCCUAUGGCCGGGGACGUGGAGAAAGUCACCCUUCAACAUUUUCUGCUGGCCGUGGAAGGGGAAGUUCUGGUGGAAAUUCAGGGGCUAGUAUACCUUCUCAUCAUCAAACUCUGGGAACCAUAUCUGACAAGGGUGUAAUUGACCAUGGAGAGCCAUCCCCUUUACAGUAUAGUAGGAAAAAAAUGCUGGACUUAUAUAUGAGAACCGACUUGAGAAUUUACCAAAAACUCAUAGAAGAGCUUCUAUCAGUGCCUUCACUUACACAAAAUGAACCAUUGGAACCUCUAGCUCUUUGUGCUCCUAAUUCUGAUGAAAUGGUAAUUAUUUUAUUUUUAAUGUAUUAGGAUGGUAAACCUUGAUUUAGAGUCCUCAGUUGAUUUCAUUGCUUCUUUGAUAGCUUGUUCUAAAGGGAAUAGACAGAGGGGACAUAACAAGUAGUGGUUCUCCUCAGAUGCCUAAAGAUGGGCCUGCCAGCCGGAACUCUACAGAGUAUACUCAUCCAAGAAGAAACAAGAUUGGUAUUCAGCAAGUGCACCUUAUAUUCUACUGUCAAUUUGUGUAUAUUUUGAAAUUUGAAGUAGUGUCUAAUAUCUGCUGGAACAUGUUUAUGCAGGCAGUAGAGAAGAUAUACCAGCUGCUGUUGGUGAUUGUAAAGAAGAAAGUUCUGACAUUCCAAACAGCAAUUAUUCACAGCUUGAAAAGCAUAAGGGAUACCCAGAUACUAAGUUCAAAUAUGAAGGUAUAAUUACAUAAACCAAUUAAUCCUGUAUUUGGUAACACCUCUGGCAACCAUCUUGCAAUUACUUAAUUGGAUGUGAGAAGUAUUCUGAAUUGAAGCUUUUGAACCAUAUGGGAAAUUAUAUCGUGGCUACUUUUAAAAAAUUAAUUCGACAUGGUUUGGAAUAAAAAGAAGACUCAGGUAGCCAACUGGAAUCAAUUUGUCUGUGGUGUUUAAGGGCUAGUUGAGUUUUGAUGAGGAAUGCAAUAAUCACAUUGUGGAUUACAAUUUUGUGUUCAAUGGAUUGGUUAUUUAUUUUCCGUGAUUGGGACUUUGUUCGUACUAAAGUUCAGCAUUUCUGUUGUUUGAAAUCCAAUGCACUAAAUUGUAUUCUGUAGAUUUGAUAUAUUACUCUCCUUUCUCAACUUGCACUUAUUUGAUUAUGAGAAUUGAUCUUCUAUUCAUUUAUGUUCUUGCAGACAAUAGUGUUCUUUUCGAAAGGGAUGAAGAGGUGCCCAUAAGUAAGGAAUCGAGCAUACACGUGCCCAACUCUGUUAAUCCUGGCACCAUGUGGCGAACCUCUUCAUUUGGGGAACGAUCACCUACAGUCACACAUGACUGGAAGGAGAUUCCAAAUGAUGCCAGGUCAAGAAUCCCUGACAUGAGCUGGUCACAACCACAGAAAGAUAUGAUUAACCAACGAGAAAGUAAUGUGAUGAAUUCAUCCUAUGCUAGAGAUGAAGCAAAUUGGCAAUCUAGUGAGGAUCCUAUCCUUAUGAGGCAGCCAUCUGGAAUUUUGGUGAGGGAACCUGAACCUAGGAAGCUGCCUGCUCCGGAGGACCUUAUUCUUCACUAUAAAGAUCCUCAAGGUGAAAUUCAAGGCCCCUUUUCAGGGAUUGAUAUUAUAAGCUGGUCUGAGGCAGGGUAUUUUGGGUUAGAUUUGGAAGUUCGGCUAGCUAGUGCACCCAAGGACUCGCCAUUUUCCUUACUUGGUGAUGUAAUGCCCCACUUGCGAGCUAAAGCACGUCCACCACCUGGAUUUGGUGUGCCAAAACAGGGUGAACUCUCUGAUUUGUCAAGCAGACCAAAUUACAGUAGCCCUGGAAAAGUUAAUGCUGGUGCAAGUGAGAUCAAUAUGAUCAGAAAUGAGCCAAGGCAAGCAACAGAAGCUGAAAAUAGAUUUUUGGAGUCACUCAUGUCUGGUGGCAUGAGCAAUCCAUCCCAAGGUUGGGUCUUUACAUAGAGACACUGCUGCAUAUUUAUUUAUUUAUAAUAUAUAAUUUUUGUUUUCUGAACUCUGAAGGUAUAGUUCUAGGGUUCUAAUCCAAAAGAAUCUCCUCCACAGUUUAAUCAGAUUUUCUUUUAUUAUUUUCUAACAGCCUGCCUGAUUUCUUGGAUGGUUUUGCUUUCAGGCCUGCAAGGAUAUGUUCCAAACAAUCCUAGUAGCAUUCCGCCAUCUGGAAUAGAAAAUGGGAGUGACCUCUAUCUGUUGGGCCGGAGAAUGACACUGGAACGGCAAAUGUCUUUACCAAAACCCUACCCUUAUUGGCAGGGGAGAGAUGGUGCAUCUUUGGUUCCAAAGCCGGAUAUCAUCUCUGAGUCACCCAUGCCCCAUGCAAAAUUCCUCCCUUCAUUGACUGACAACACUCCUCAGCUGCCUCCACAAGCUGCUGAUUUAAUGUCCAUCCUCCAAGGAUUACCUGACAGGUCUGCUCCUGGAGUAAAUAACAGUGUCAGUAGUUGGGCAAAUUUUCCUGCACAAGGUGCAUUAGAUACUCAUCAAGAGAAGAUUGAGCUACAUCAUGCUCAAAAUUUUCCUAACCAAGCGUCGUUUGGGAUCCAGCAACAAAGGCUGCAAGCACCGACCCCACCUUCCUUGACAAGUUUGCUUGGUCAAACUAUGGAUAAGCCAUCUGGCAUUUUACAACCUGAGAAGUUUAUCUCCACUUCAUCUCAAGACCCCCAACUGCUAAAUAUGUUGCAGCAGCAGUAUUUAAUGCAGCAGCUACAACCCCAGACACCAGUACCAACUCCACAGAUGCUGCUGCUUGAAAAGAUGAUGUUGCUUAAGCAGCAACAGAAACUGGAGGAACAGCAGCAGUUGUUGCGGCAACAACAAUUGCUUUCACAGGUUUUGCAAGAACAAUCGCAGCAGCAUUUAGGUGAACCCUCUUUUGGACACUUACAGACUACCACAAUGCAGACAGGUAAUUCAUCUGUGGAUCCUGCUCGACCUCAGUCAUCACCACAGGAUAUUCUUCAGAUUGGUUCGCAGAUCCCAGGCAACCAAGAUGAGCAUGCCUAUAAUAUGAACCUGUCUCAGCAAGUUUCCAGGGAUACCAGUUAUGCUGUUAGUUCUGGGUCCCCACCUGUGCUUCUACCACAUGAGAUGCUCAGUAGUAUCAAUUGUCAGAAGAGCUGGGGGACUAAUGCACCAGAACUGG
rnacentral:lncRNA from 1 species